rnacentral:lncRNA from 1 species
UGAGGAGGAAGAAGAGGAUAAAUGGCUAAUUCAGAAUGAGUUUGUAGAUAACUUUUCAUUCAAAAUAUCCUCACCUCCUGCGCACCGGAUAUGGGGCUAUACUCUGUUCACAAGGUUUUGUAUGACGUCAGAGUACACUCUCUUAGAUCCUUUUUAUAUUAUAAUCAGAAACAAUACCAGUGGUCGAUACUUGCGUUGUCAAGCCUAUCUCCUCCCUGUGAGUUACAAGCGUGGUGUUCGUGAAAUCCAAUCGUUUAUGCACAGGAAAUUAGGGGGCGAUGAUCCUACAUUUGAUAAUGGUGAUGAAGUGAGUAUUUCAGUGUGUCGAAAAAAACCAGCUAUCCAAAUAAGGACGAUUGGAGUACAAUGGUUGCAUGAUCAAGAGGAAGGAAAGGAUGAUGAUGAUGAUGAUGAUGCAGCACACGUAGCCAAAGUAGAAAUAGCUUCUCGUAUUUUUAGAAAUUAUUAUUGUGGUUUCUAUUGUAAAUCCAAUGAUGGCAAUAUCCAUUGUGGUAUAAAAUUUUAAAAUUAAUUUUAAUUGAAAAUUAUCAAAUUAAAAGAUAGAAUUAAAAUUCAAUAACAAAAGCGGAAAGCUUUUGAAAAGCUUAUCAGGAAAAUAGUUUUGUAUCUCUAGUAAUCUUCCUUCUUUCUUUGUAUAGCAUGAGAUCUUUUAUUAAUAAAUAUUUGUAAUGCCUUUCACUUUUUUUUCCCGCUUUAAUAUAUUAUUAUUUUAUUAAUUAAUUUUUAUUUAUAAAAUCUUGUAUUUAUAAUAAAAUAUAUUAAAUAUUUUAUUUUACUUGUCAACCUUUUAUUGAUCAAAAUAUAUGUAAAGAUCCAUUUUAUUUUCAUGUUAUUUUAUCUGUUUUAUUUUAUCUUUAUAUAUAAAAAUAAUACAUGGUAAAAUUUAAUUGUUAAUUUUUUUUUGUUUCUAUAUAGUGAAAUUUGAUUGGUAAUUUAUUUUUCAACAUAUACCAUUUCCAGAUAAGUUCACUUGUAAUAAAAAAUAAGUAGAUAUGUUUUAAAAAUAUGAUUAAGAGGGUUUUAUAAUUUAAAUAUAUUUUAUUUUAAUUAAAAAUUACUUUAAUUAUAUUAAAUUUUCAUAUUAAAUUAACAUAGAUUUUUUAGUGCAUGCACCGGUAAAGAUGCAAUUGAAUUAGUCUUUCAUAAACCAGCACUGUACUGUCACCCAUGACCUUAAACAUUAAAACCCUUUUUUUAUCAACAUUAUGAGGAUCUUGGAAUGUGUUUUCAUUUCCCUGGUUUUUGACAGCAACAGUUGUUUUAGGAGACGUGAAAGCCACAAAGUUCUAACCACUUGGACUUUUUAAUGGUUGGCUGUUGGAGCUAUAUCAUGGCAUGCUCUGUUGAUUUGCCCAACCCAUUCUCUUGAUGCAAGAUCAAGUGCUGAAAGCAGGUUUAAAUCUUCAAGAAAUUGCUGAGUAUGUCUGAGGAGAAAUAGACUGCUAACCAUUUUCCAAGAGGCAACCCAUUUGCUGUUUUCUCUUAAACAACUAAAAAACGUUCGAGUUCUCUUCCAAUUUUCCGAUGAGCCAAGUCAACGGAAAACCUCACAUACUCUUUUGACAACAGAAUCCUAUUACUAUCACACCAUGGAACCUCCAUUCUUAUAGAACCCCCACUCAAUAAACCUCUUGCCAUCAGCACUUGUAAUCCCUGAUUCCCUAAACCCACACUUUAUAGCCAAAGACACAAAACAUUGUGCAGCUUCAAUGUCCCUCCACUCCACAGCAAUACUCAAUGGCUCAAAACGGAACACCAGUCGGUAGCCGACCCAGUAGCUGAUUCAGAGUCAUGAUCCUCCACGUGCCUUUUUCUUAUUGGUGGGUGGUGUUGAUGCUGGUUUUGGAUGCGAGAGGAUGGAGAUCCGGCCAGAGCAGGCGCACAGCGAGGGUGGAUGAGUUGGAUUAUGCGGGUGUCUAAUGUCCCUUUUGGUAACUAUGCCUGAGAUUCCUAUAUUUUCAUAACCUAAUUUUUAACCUUUUUAUUUUAAUUAUUUUAUUUUUAAAAAAAUUAAUAAAAAACAAGUAAAAAUAAAAUAAUUAAAAUUUAAAUUAAGUACAACAUAAUUAAAAAUUUAAAGAUUUAAUUAAACACUUGACUAGUUUAAUUAAUUAAAUUAAUGGCUUAAUUGAAGAAUUGAUUCAAUUAAAAUUUAGAUUAUUUUAAUCAAAAGUUUAAUUGAAAAAUUAAUGAGUUUGAGGACUUAAUUAAACUUUGAUUUAAUUAAUUAAAUAAAUUCAGGGACUUAAUUGAAAUUAAUCCAAGGGUAAAAUUAAAAGAUUGUUGGGAUCAAAUUGUUAAAUUUCCAGAGGCAGGGGUCAAAUUGAAAAUUCCCAUUUUCUGCCAAAACGGCACCGUUGCUAAGGAACAGCCGUGCGUCUUCUCCAUCCCGAUUCAACAGGGGAGCUCCCGAUUCAGCAGGGGAGCUGAUAAUCUGCAACAAAUCCGAUCAUGGACCACGUCUCUUGCCCACUAUCUCGUUCGUGGAUUCCAUAACAGUCCUGCAAAGGCAGGACUGGUGGAAGGGCAAGCUUCUCUAUAAAAGGGAGAAGAAAACCCAGAAUUAAGGAGAGGAAAAAAAGAUGAACCGAAAAAUGAACCCAAAAACAGAGAAAAAAAGCAGAGAAAACAGAGCAAAAAAAACCCAGAGCAAAGAAAUAAUACACAGAGAGAAGGAGAGGAAAGAAAUCCAGCAUACAUAGAGAGUUUUCAUCGCCAUUGCCUUCAUCUCUGCAGACAAUCUGCACACAAAAAAAUCAACCCAAAAACAGAGAAAAAAAAAGGCAGAAAACGCAAGCAAAAAUCCAGAGCUAAAACAAACAGAGCAGAAAUACAGAGUGAAAAAACACAAAUUCACAGAGAGAAAGAAAAAGGGAGGGGCAGCACCGAGAAGAAUCAGCUCUGCCAUUGCCUUCGUCCCUGCAGACAAAGAAAGACCCAGAAUCAGUCAAAACAAAAUUCACAGAAAGCAGGGACAGGCAGGAAGAAACCAAUCAGAGAAAAGCAAGAACAAAAGAGAAGGGAAGAGAAAGGAGCUUAGCCGACGAAUCUUUCAUCACGUCUUCAUCUUCAGGAGCAGCAGCCCACAGGUAAGUUUCUCUUCAUCUCCUCUCGCUUUUCAGUUUUAAUUCAUGCCAUACUGUUCAUGUGAAUUUUAAUUCACUGAAUACUUAGACACGCGUGAACCAGCUCACGCGUGUUAUUUGCCCAGCCGGGCUCAGCCCAGCCCAUGUGGGCUGAGCUGGGCCCCGCCCAAAAAUAAAAAAAUAAAAAGAUAAAAAGAUAAACAAAAUUUAAAAAAUAUAUAAUAAAAAUUGUGUAUGUAAAAAAAAUAUAUAAAAAUGUAUUUAUUGUUUUUUUAUUUAUUCAUUGACGACGUAAUAAUAAAAAUACCAAUUCAAAUUUAUUUUAUUGUAUUUUAUUUGGUUAUAUAAAAAAUGUGUGUGCAAAAAAAAAAACUUAAGACAAAAUAAAAUAAAAUUAUUUGGUAUAUUCACUGACGCCAGAGUCAGGAAUAAAAAAUACUAAUGUAAAUUUAUUUUAUUUUAUUUUAUUUUGCUUUUAUUUAGCUACAUAAAAAAUAAAAAUAAUACAUAUGUGUAAAAAAUAAAUUGAUUUUUAUUUAUUUAUUCACUGACGCCAGAGUCAGGAAUAUAAAAAAUAAUGAUUUAAAUUUAUUUAUUCUGAUACCUACGUAAUAUUUACCAGCGCCAGAGUUGGAAAUAUCCGUAGUUGAAUAUUCACUGGCGCCAGAGUCAUGAAUAUUACACGCAAACAAUCAUAGUAUAAAACAACAAAAAUGUUAGCAAUUAAUGACAAAUAUUAACAAUGCAGCCUGCCUUAGGCAGGAUGUUUAAGGGGUGAUAAUAUCUUUCCUUUUACGUAAUCAGUCUCGGACUAUAGAAUUUCUGUUGACUAGUUAGGGUUCCUAGUAACCGUAAUACUAGGUGGCGACUUCUUAAACAAGACCGUUCCCCAUCAAAGAACAGAAUGCCAGAAUUCCGUUUUUUCUAAAAUUUAUUUAGUUUUUUAAGGUCGCCGCGAUGUCGGGUGUGAUAUAUAUAAUAAAAUAUUUUAUUUAUAGUAUUGUGCCACAUAGACUUGAAGGGUUGCCUUAAAAGUUUGGAGCAGAACCACUUAUUAGAUUACUGAUCCAGAACAGCAGCCACAACUGAAUAGAGAAGGGAAAGGGAAACUUGCAGGUACUCUCUCUUUCUUAUCUCCUGUUUACUUUGGUUCCAGCUGCUGUCUUGUUUUCUUUGUUGAUGAUCACUUAGAUUAAACCACUGUUAGUGACUACUUGUUCAUCAUCUCAUCUUAUCAUGCCACUCAAAAAAUUAUAAACUAACAAAUUCACCUCCGUGGGCUUUGUAAGGAUUACAAGAUGUGUGCUUUGUAAAUAAUUAAGGCUUACAUAGCCAGAUGGGGAUCCUUAAUGACUUUCUUUUCCUGCUCCAUCCGUGCUUCUAAAUGCGUGGUAGCAAGUGCGGUUAAAUAUGUACAGAUAUUUCUCUGAAAGGGCUUGGGGGAGUUGAUUGCUGGGAAAUAACUUAAAAAAUGUUUUCAAGAAAAAGUUAGAUAACCAUAUAUAAAUACUUCAGCUAAUUGCUGUGCUAUCGAUCUUGAAUUAUCGACAUUCAUCAUGCAACUUCUUUUUUUUUUUUGCUAGUCUCGAAAUGGCUUCUGGGAAAUAUCAAGAAUACUCAUUUUAACUGUUCUCUAAUUGUAAAUAUCAAGUGUUCUUGACUUUUAGAGGUGAAGACACCCGCAAGAACUUUACCGAUCACCUCUACACAGCCCUGGUUCAAGCAGGGAUUCACACAUUUAGAGACGAUGAUGAAAUUGGGAGAGGAGAAAAUAUCAAGUCAGAGCUCCAACAGGCAAUACAACAAUAAAAAAAUAUCGAUAAUCGUGUUCUCCAAAGCGUAUGAUUCGUCGCGGUGGUGCCUGAAUGAACUUGUAAUGAUCAUGGAACGUAAGAGCAAUACUGACUGCAUAAUUUUGCCGGUCUUCUAUGACGUGGAUCCGUCUGAAGUCAGAAAUCAAACAGGGAGCUUUGCUGCAGCAUUUAUGGAUCAUGAAAAGCGCUUCAAGAAGGAGAUGGAGCAAGUGAAUGGGUGGAGGAUUGCUUUGUAGGAAGUUGCAGAUUUAGGAGGAAUGGUUUUAGGAGAUGGGUAAGUUGUAUUUCUUGAUGAAACUACACAUAACAUAAUAAUAGAAUGCUGGUUCUGAACUCUUAAUUUUUUCAGGUUUGUAGUUAAGCAUUGAGACGAUAACUGAUAAUACCACUACAAUUUAGUGAAACUGUGACACUCCCAACUCAGAGAACAUACUAGGAAAAUAAAAAUAAAAGAUACUUUUUACUCUUUUUUUUUUCCUUGACUACCUGAAAAGGCAAAGAUUUCUACAUUAUUCCAUUUUUUGGUUUUAAUAUGUGGUGAUAACAUAGCUACAAAAAUAGCAAUCAAUCAUUGACGCGCAGCCUGGUUUAAUUUCUUUUUUCCAGGAUACUAAGAUUUUUAAACUUUACGGAGAGACUACUAAUUAUCAUACAUUGCAUUUUUCUUUCUGAUGCAGGUAUGAGGCACAGCUUGUCCAAUCAUCUGGUAAAAUAUUAAAGAAACUGGAUCGUUAAAUAUUUCAUGUCCCCCUUCAUUUCAUUGGAAGAGAUCAUCUGGUAAAAUAUAUCAACUCAUGGUUGCAAGAUGGCACUCAUGGUGCUGCUAUUGCUAUACUCUAUGGGAUUGGUGGAGUUGGGAAGACAGCCAUAGCAAAGACUGUUUAUAACCAGAACUUUCAUAAAUUUAAAGGCAGGAGCCUACAGAGGCAACUUCUUUCUGAUAUCCUAAACAAGACUGCUGAUGAGACACAUGAUGUCGAUGAAGGGAUUAUAAAGAUUAAGGAUGCAUUGUGUUGCAGAAGAACUCUUAUUGUUCUCGAUGACGUGGACAAAUGGUACCAGUUCAAUGCAAUUGUUGGCAUGCAAAAUUGGCUUUUCCAAGGAAGUAAAAUCAUUGUAACAACUAGAAAUAAGGCUUCGAUUGUAGCUGAUGGUGAAUGUGUCAAGUGCAAAGUUGAACCUCUAGAUAACAAAAAAUCACUUGAGCUUUUCAGUUGGCAUGCCUUAGGACAAGCUUGCCCGGUUGAAGAUUUUUUAGACUCUUGGGGAAUAGUACGUCAUUGUAAUGGACUUCCAUUGGCCCUACGUGUUAUUGGUUCCUCAUUGUCCAGAAAAAGUAGUGAAGUAUGGGAAAGUGCAUUGCAUGAAAUGGAGGUGAUUCUGAAUAUUCAAGUUCUUGCAACAAGUUACGACUCUCUUGUUGAUGAUUAUCAGAAGAACUUAUUCCUUGAUAUUGCUUGUUUCUUCAAUGGAACGGAUUACAAUUAUGCAGUUAGGAUACUAGAUGGACUUAGUAUAGGUGCAAGAUUUAGGAUUGAAAAUCUCAUCGAUAGAUGUCUGGUAGAAAUUGUUAAAAUAAAAAAUGAUAAAAAGUUAUGGAUGCAUCAACUCGUAAGAGAUAUGAGAUAUGGAAAGGGAAAUUGCUCGUCAAGAAUCACCCAAAUGUCAAAGAAUAUGGCAUCACAUGGAAGCCUUUACAGUAUUGAAAGAAACAAGUGUAAGUAUCUAGUUUUGUUUACAUAUCUACUGUGUAUUUAAGCAUCUUAAAAAGUUCAUGCUUUUACUUUCUUUUCUCAUAUACUUUUAAUAUUUUGGAAGCAUGAUUCUGAAAAAUUGCCAUAGAGUCAGAAAUGUCGAAUUCUUUGUUUCUUGCUCCAUUAUUAUUCCAGCACAUCCUCCAUGUUUGUUUGCACAGCCUGCAUAUGCUGCAGAACGAUCUUCGUUUGCCAAUUGUAUCCAAUGCUCCUGCAACUUCUUAUGUUCCUCUUUCACAAAUUCUUUAUAUGGUUGUACAUGCAAAUUAUCAAGGUCGCCUAACGCACAGUUAAGAGGUUUAGAUUGUUUUUUUUUUUUUUACCGGGAUUGCUUCAGGCUCUUAACAAGUUGGUGCUGCUUCUUGCUUAUUUUUAAGUACGACAUCAAUUUUUUAAGUAUGUCACAAUCAACAUGGUCAAACUCUAGCUUUUAAAAAAUAUAUAUAUAUUUAUAUAUAUAUAUAUAUUAAUUUUCAUGGAUAAAAUCGAGUUUAAUAACUUUUCUUUUCAUGAGAUGAAAUUAAGUUCAUUUAGACUAUUUGCAUCAAUUUUAAGAAAUUAAGAAAAAUCAUAGCGUGAUUGAGGUUAAGUUAUAGUUUUAAUGAUAAAAUUAUUCCAAUACUAUAGUUUUCAUUUACCGAUAUUAAUUCUUUCUUCAAUCCGAUCUUCAACAAACCAUUUAUAUACAUAUAUAGAUUGAUGUAUAUCAUGAAAGUUUAUUUACAAGAUCAAUUUUUGAAAGUUUCUUUCAUGAAAGUUUUGAAUUAUUCCAAUACUAUAGCUCAUGAAGUGGAAGACUAUCUUGUUCUCCCUUUUUAAUUACUUGCUUGUCCUUGAAUUAUCUGUCGGUGAUUCCUCGACAAAGAUGGGUUACCUUUGAUGCUCAUGAUCGCUCUGCUUGUUGACACACAUUUGUAAUAUCUCUUCUAGACAUGCUGAAUACAGCAAGAGCAAACAUGAGUGCUGAGGAAAAGGAAAGAACAAAUGAAGACGAACUUAACAUAAUGAUCUCCUCGUAUGGGCCAAAAUCAGUUCAAAUUAAAGAGACAGUACUACUGAGAGGACAAUGGUGCUCAUGGUAAGAGAAGCCAAAAUCACCCAACUGAUUAACAAAUCAAGACGGUCAUGAAAUAAUUUGCAUUAUUUCUCUGUUACUGUCUCCUGGUGGCAUGAUGCAGUCCCCUUAAAAAACUUUUUUUAUUGGCUUAGCCAUACAAUUUACAUGUUUUUAGCGAUUCACAUGACAUUAACAAAUGCUACAAGUUUUGGAUAAGAAUCUACAACAUGCUAAAACAUCCUUGUUAAUGAUCCUUUACUUCGACAUCAUCUAGGACUCCUCGAACAAUGAGAUAGUAAAUCCUUAACUCUUUCCCCUCAUUUUGUUUGGUGCUUGGCAUACUGGGUAGUGGGUAGCUAUUUCCUGGUGAUUCCUCCGAACAGGUAGGUAAAAAGUAAUCAUUGAAUCAAACAGACUAAGAACACAUAUAAAACGAGUUAGAAAACAAUCCAAUUGGCUCAGGCAAUGAUCAACAUGAUACAGAGAACUUUCAACUGAUGUACCUGGUUGCAGCAGGAUCAUGGUCUUGUUUUCUACUUGUGUCUGCAAUGACUACGACUUUCUUAUCCAGUUCAAAUCCAUCAUUCUGAAUAAUGAGAAAGCCUAUUUUAUCAAGGACACCACACAUUCAGUAAAUAUAUACCACCCAUAAAAGCUCAUGCCAGUUAGCUCACGAAUAUGCAACAAAUAUGUCUUUUCAGUAUUGACUCAUACAGAAAUAAAUUCUGAGUGAUUUUUUUUCCACCAUUGGUAAUCAAUCAAAUCUAUAAUCUAUGCAACUUUCCUCAUCCAGAAGCGAGUAAUCUUAUACAUGUUCUGUAACUCAUCGUAUAGUUAAUUGACUGAUCUGUGGCUCUAGAACAAGAUUUGCACCAAGUCUCAACUUUCUCACUAAGUCUCAACCAUACUCAUAUCCAUUAGAAUGAUUUUGAAGCUAUUGGGUUUAUACCAAGCCUACAAGAUUUAUACUUCAUAAAAUUUGCGUAUUUCACAAUAUAUAAAAGUUUGGGCACAUCAACUUUUUAGUAUCUUAGACCAAGAGAUUUCAUUAUGAAUUUUGUAAUAUAUAAAUUUUCUUUCAGUCUAUUCCCUUUCAGUAACAUGCUUUUGAAGCUAUUGGGUUUAUACCUAGCCUACAAGAUUUAUACUUAAUAAAAUUUGCGUAUUUCUCUCUAUACAGCUAUCUCUCUAUACAGCUAUCUCUCUUAUUUUCAAUGGACAACAACUGAUUUCAAGUGGUUUCACAGUCUCUUCCAAAAUUUAAAAUUCUUGAUCCCCGUUGCUCAUUUUAUAAGUUCUGAUUUAUUUCAACUCUACAUUUUUGUUCUUGUAUAUCUAGAAACUUUUCCCUUUGCUCAUUUUAUAAAUUCUGCUUUGAUGGAACAGAUACAACUUUAGGGCAACAGAUUCAAUGUUGUCCUUGAAUGUGAUGAAAAUGAGAUAUUAAGGUGGUUUCACGAGGAGGAAGAACAGGAGUAGCUACUUUAGAAAGAGAAUGUAGAGUACUUGUCAUUCAAACUUAAUUCUUACUUCAGGAUGUCACUAGCCAUCAACUUGUGGAAUUUGUUUUCUAACUUCUUUCUUACUUCACCAUGUCAAUAUAGCCAUCAAUUCCUGGCACCAAAAUUUUCCAUGCAUAACUGGUCAAGCCUAGACAUUCCGACUUUCUGCUUCCGAUAUUAGCCAUGGAAAAUUCCUAACGCGGAAACGUUCCAUACCAUAGAGAGAGUGGACUUGUAGGGAUGACUUGUCUUAAAAUUACAAUCCACCCUUUCUCUCUCAAUUUUAAUAUAUACCUGUUGGAAUAUACAGGAGAUAUUUUAGAAAAAGGCAAUUAGACGUAAUAGAAAACUAGGAGAAAUUAAUGGCAAACAGAUAUAAAAAAUAAAUGGCAUAAUUUUUCUAUCUUAUUGGUGGAAUAUUUUUUGUAGGUAUUUUCAUAGCUAUUUGCUAGUUUUAUAGUAGUGAAACGACUAAAAAAGAAAAGUUGUAUUAGUCCUAAAUGUUAGGAAUAAUUAGUUUCUACUUGAAAGACAUUUGAUACAAUACGUUUUAAAAGACAAUAAUUUUUUUAAAAUUAAUUUACCUGUUGGAAUAUACAGGAGAUAUUUUAGAAAAAGGCAAUUAGACGUAAUAGAAAACUAGGAGAAAUUAAUGGCAAACAGAUAUAAAAUUUAGGGAUUUAAUAUUAUGUUAUUAAAAUAAAGGGAUUAACUAAAUAAUAAUUUACUUCACAAAAAAAUUGUUAAAGGAAUACAGUAAUACCAACCACGAAGCAAAAGAUUUGAGAAAAGAGAGAGAAACAUAAAUGAUGUUAAUUAGAUUUUUCUAAUUAGAUUCUUACUUCAGGAAAAUUAGAUUUUUACUUCAGGAAAAUCAACUUCUCCUCUUAAUUAGAUUUUUCUAACUUGAUUCUUACUUCAGGAAAAUUCAGUGUGCCAUGGAAAAUUCAGUCCGACUUUCUUACUUCAGGAUGUCAAUAGUGGCCAUCAAUUCCCAUCAACUUGUGGAGUUUAUUUUCUAACUUUUUUCUUACGAUGUCAAUAGCCGUCAACUCGGAAUUAGUGAUUAUAUUCAACAUCCAAGUCUUGAUCAGAAUAAAACCAAAAAAGUCCUCACGCGGAAACAUUCCAUACCAUAGAGAGAGUGGACUUGUGGGGAUGACUUGUCUUAAAAUUACAAUCCACCUUUUCUCUCUCAAUUUUGAGCAAAUUAAAAAAAAAAAAAGGUCCUAACGCGGAUAUGGUCCGUACCACAGAGACUUUUAAGGUUGAUUUAAAAGCAGAAAAUUGAUGAACUGAUAAGAGAACAUCAGCGAAGGGAAAGUGAAGAUUUCAGGUACUCUCUCUCUCUUAUCUCUUUUAGUAUUAUGUUAUAUUGUGGAAUGUAACUCUGCUGUAACUGAGAAUCACUUAAAUUAAUUCACUAUUAGAAACUAAUUAUUGAUGAUCUCAUCAACCGAUUUUGUUGGUUCAGCAUAGAGAUUAAUUUAUCAUGUGUACAGAUAUUUUUCUGAAAGGGCAUGGAGGAUUUGAUUGAUGGGAAAUAACUUGAAAAUUGUUUUAAAGAUAAAGUAAGAUAAUAAUAUAUGAACACUUCAGCUUAUUGGUGUGCUGUCGAUCUUGAACUAUCGACAUUAAUCUCUGCUAGACUCGUUUUAUUUUGUUCAGAUUUUUGAAAAGUCUUAUCUUUGCUAGACUCGAAAUGGCUGCUGGGAAAUAUCAAGAAUCCUACUCUUCACGGUUUUCUAAUUGUAAAUAUCAAGUGUUCUUGAGUUUUAGAGGUGAAGACACCCGCAAGAACUUUACCGACCACCUCUACAAGGCCCUGAUUCAUGCAGGGUUUCACACAUUUAGAGAUGAUGAUGAAAUUCGGAGAGGAAAGAAUAUAAGGCUGGAGCUCCAGAAGGCAAUAAAACAAUCAAAAAUAGCGAUAAUCGUGUUCUCCAAAAACUAUGCUUGGUCGAAAUGGUGCCUCGAUGAACUCGUAAAGAUCAUGGAACGUAAGAGGAAUGCUGAAUGCAUAGUUUUCCCAGUAUUCUAUCAUGUGGAUCCAUCUGAAGUCAGAAAUCAAACUGGGAGCUUUGCUGCAGCAUUUGUGGAACAUGAAAAGCACUACAAGGAGAAGAUGGAGCGGGUGAAUGGGUGGAGGAUUGCUUUGAAGGAAGUUGCAAAUUUAGCUGGAAUGGAUUUAGGAGAUGGGUAAGUUAUAUCUCUUGAUGAAACUAUACAUAGCAUAAGACUAGAAUGCUGGCCGUGAACUUUUAAUUAAUUUCUUUCAGUUAAGUGUACUGAUAAGAAAACAUACAAGAAAAAUAAAAUAAAAUACUUAUGAUUUCUUCUUCUUCUUCUUCUUCUUCUUCUUUUCCGAUCAUGAUUUGGUUUUAAUAGGUGGUGAUAACGCACCUACAAAUUUAACUAUCAUUCAUGGACACGCAACUGUUGUUUAUUUCUAUCCUUUAUAGAGAGGCUACUGAUUAUCCCACCUUGUAUUUUACUUUUUGAUGCAGGUACGAGGCACAGUUUGUCCAAUCUAUUGUGGAGAAUGUCUUAAAGAAUUUGGAUCCAAAAAUAUUUUAUGUCCCCCUUCAUUUCAUCGGAAGAGAUGCUUUAGUACAAGAUAUCAACUCAUGGUUGCAAGAUGGAUCCCAUGGUGCUGCCAUUGCUUUACUCUAUGGAAUAGGUGGAGUUGGAAAGACAGCCAUAGCUAAGAGUGUUUUUAACCAGAACUAUUAUAAAUUUGAAGGAAAGAGCUUUCUCUCAAAUUUUAGGUCAAAGGAUAUAGUUUGCCUACAGAGGCAACUUCUUUUCGACAUCCUAAACAAGACUGUUGAGAUAAAUGAUCCUGAUGAAGGAAUUCUGAAGAUUAAGGGUGCAUUAUGUUGCAGAAGAACUCUUAUUGUUCUAGAUGAUGUGGACAAAAGGGACCAAUUCAAUAAAAUCAUUGUCAUGCAAAAUUGGCUUUGUAAAGGAAGUAAAAUCAUUGUAACAACCAGAAAUAAGGGUUUGUUUUCAGCUAAUGAUAUUCAGUGGAUCCGGUACAAAGUUGAACUGCUAGAUGAUGAAAAAUCACUUGAGCUUUUCAGUUGGAAUGCCUUUGGACAAGCUAACCCUGUUGAUGGUUUUGUGGAAGACUCUUGGAGAAUAGUAUAUCAUUGUAAUGGACUUCCAUUAGCUCUUCGAGUUAUUGGCUCUUCAUUGUCCGGAAAAGGAAGAGAAAUAUGGGAAAGCGCAUUACAACAAAUGGAAGUGAUUCUUAAUUUUGAAGUUCAAAAGGUUCUUCGAAUAAGUUACGACUUUCUUGAUGGUGAUUAUCCGAAGAACUUAUUCCUUGAUAUCGCAUGUUUCUUCAAUGGAAUGGAUGUGGAUGAUGCAGUUAGGAUACUGGAUGGGCUCGAUAAAGGUGCAAGAUUUGGGAUUGACAAUCUCAUCGAUAGAUGUCUUGUUGAAAUCAACAGUGAUCAAAGGUUGUGGAUGCAUCAACUAGUAAGAGAUAUGGGUAGGGAAGUUGCUCGUCAAGAAUCACCCAAAUGUCAAAGAAUAUGGCAUCAUGAGGAUGCUUUUACAGUUUUGAAAGGAACUACUGUAAGUAGCUCAAUUUUUUUAAAUGUCUACUUAAAUGGUUUGUGGUGCCUUGACAUAUUCAUUCAUCUACUUUCCUUUCUCAUGUACUUUUAAUAUUGUUAUGCAGGAUGCUGAAAAAUUGCGUGGCCUUACCAUUGAUAUGCAUGCAUUAAUGGAAUAUCGUUAUGCAGAAGUUGUCUGUACUGAUUCAAUGGUUUGUCGCAAGCGCCGCAGGCUUAACUUCUUUCAACAAUGGCUUUCCGAUUUUUUCGAUGGGGGAAAAUUACAAACUGGCCAAACAAGUUUGUUUCCCAUCCUCAGCACGGAUGCUUUUAGAAAGAUGCCAGAUGUAAAAUUUCUUCAACUAAACUACACUAAUUUUCAUGGAAGUUUUGAGCACUUUCCCAAGAAUUUGAUAUGGUUAUGUUGGCAUGGAUUGUCUUGGAGCUCCAUACCAAAUCACGUAUGCUUGGAGAAGCUGGUGGUUCUUGAUCUAUCCAGAAGUUGUCUAGUUGAUGCUUGGAAGGGCAAACCGGUAUGUAUCAAGUCUCUCUAUAGCUAUCUCUCUCGUUUUCAAUUGAUAACAACUAAAUUCAUGUAUUUUCACAGUUUCUUCCAAAAUUGAAAAUUCUUGAUCUCCGUCACUCUCGUGAUCUCAUUAGAACCCCAGACUUCUCGGGUCUCCCAGCCCUUGAAAAACUAAUACUUGAAGACUGCAUCCGUUUGGUUCAAUUUCACGAAUCUAUUGGUGAUUUACAAAGAUUGUUGAUCUUAAAUCUAAGAAAUUGUACAAGUCUUAUGGAGCUUCCAGAAGAAAUGAGUAGAUUGAAUUCACUUCAAGAGCUGGUUUUAAAUGGUUGUUCAAAUCUUAAUAACCUGAAUAUGGAGUUAGAGCAUCAUCAAGGGCGCAAGUUGCUUCAAAGUGAUGGAAUUGUUGCAAGUACAUCAUUCAUUUCAUCUCUUCCAUUGAAGCUAUUCUUUCCCUUUAGGUUUUCAACGAGGAAAAUGUUGAGAUUUACCUUGUUUUCACUGCCACGCUUCUUGGAGAGUCUAGAUUUAAGUGGAACUCCAAUUUGUUUUCUUCCAGAAAGCAUCAAGGAUCUUGGUCUACUCAGAGCCCUAUAUUUAAGAAAUUGCAAAAUGCUUCAGGCACUCCCAGAGCUUCCAUUCCUUUUGGAUUUGUUAGAUGUGUCCUUUUGCUAUUCACUGCAAGGACUUGCAAAUCCAAAGAGUUGGACUGAAGGAGAUGGUUGUGAUCACUUAGUCGAGUUCCAAGAUCGGAUAAAGCAAGAAUUAAUUCAAAAGGUAGACUCUCAAAUGUUCAGAAUAAUGGAAACGGUUAGUGCUCAAAUACAGCCAUCGAGAUUUCAGGUCCUCCUUCACCCAUUUUAUUGUUUUGGAAAUCUACAUUUUAAUACUUUUCUUUUACUCAUUUUAUAAACUUUGUUUUGGUGGUACAGAUAACAUUUAUGGAUGGCAUAUUCAACGUUGUCGUCUAUGCAUUUGAAGAUGAGAUGUUCUCCAAUUUGUUUUGUGCAGAGGGAGAAGAGGAUAAAUGGCUAAUUCAGAAUGAGUUUGUAGAUAACUUUUCAUUCAAAAUAUCCUCACCUCCUGCGCACCGGAUAUGUGGCUUUAAUUUAUUCACAGGGCUUGGUGUGACGUCAGCAUACCGUGGCUUUAGUAAUGUUUAUAUUGAAAUCAGAAACAAUACGAGUGGUCAAUCCUUGCUUUGUCAAUUCUUUGUCUUCCCUAUGAGGUACGCGCGUGGUGUUCGGGAAGUCCAAUCGUUAUUGCACACGAAAUUAGGGGGCAAUGAUCCUGCAUUUGAUAAUGGUGAUGACGUGAGUAUUUCAGUGCGUCCACGUGGUCCAGCUAUCCAAAUAAGGACCGUUGGUGUACAAUGGUUGCAUGAAGAGGAAGGAAAGGAUGAAGAUAUCAAUGCCCACAACAGUAGCGAUGAUGAUGAUGCAGCACACGUAGCCGAAGUAGAAAUAGCUUCUCAUAUAGUUAGAAAUUAUAAUUGUGCUUUCCAUGGUAAACGCAGGGCUCGCAAUUUCACUUUUUGGAAUUUUGCAAAGAAGGGUCUACAACUUGAAUUAUUUUAGGUUUCAUUAAGUAGAGGUUUGCUUUUUUAGAUUUCAACCGUAAAAUCAAAAAAGCUGGAAAGCUUUUGAAAUAGUUUUUUCUUUUUUCUUGAAAAGCUUAUCAUGAAAAUAGCAUGAGAUCUUUUAUUUAUAAAUAUUUAUAAGGGCCUUCAUAUUCAAAAAUGUAAUAUGAUAUUAUUUUAUUAAUUUUUAUUUAUAAUAAGACAUAUUAAAUAUAAGUUAACCUUCCAAUUUUCAUGUUAUUUUAUCUAUUUUAUUUCAUUUUUUUAUAUAAAAAAUAAAAUAAAAAUAACACAUGAUAAAAUUUAAUUGGUAAUUUUUUAUCUGACGAGCCCAUUUGCUGUUUUCUCUUAAACAACUAAAAAACGCUCGAGUUCUCUUCCAAUUUUCUGACGAGCCAAGUCAACGGGAAACCUCACACACUCUUUUGACAACAGAAUCCCAUUACUAUCACUCCAUGGAACCUCCAUUCUUAUAAAACAUGAGUGCCGAGGAAAAGGAAAGAACAAAUGAAGACGCGACUUAACAUAAUGAUCUCCUCGUAUGGGCCAAAAUCAGUUCAAAUUAAAGAGACAGUCCUACUGAGAGGACAAUGGUGCUCAUGGUAAGAGAAGCCAAAAUCACCCAACUGAUUAACAAAUCAAGACGGUCAUGAAAUAAUUUGCAUUAUUUCUCUGUUACUGUCUCCUGGUGGCAUGAUGCAGUCCCCUUAAAAAACUUUCUUUAUUGGCUUAGCCAUACAAUUUACAUGUUUUUAGCGAUUCACAUGACAUUAACAAAUGAUACAAGUUUUGGAUAAGAAUCUACAACACGCUAAAACAUCCUUAUUGACGAUCCUUUAUUCCGACAUCAUCUAGGAUUCCUCGAACAAUGAGAUAGUAAAUCGUUAACUCUUUCCCCUCAUUUUGUUAGGUGCUUAGCAUACUGGGUAGCUAUUUCCUGGUGAUUCCUCCGAUCAGGUAGGCAAAAAGUAAUCAUUGAAUUAAUCAAACAGACUAAGAACACAUAUAAAACGAGUUAGAAAACAAUCCAAUAGGCUCAGGCAAUGAUCAACAUGAUACAGAGAACUUUCAACUGAUAUACCUGGUUGCAGCAGGAUCAUGGUCUUGUUUUCUACUUGUGUCUGCAAUGACUACCACUUUCUUAUCCAGUUCAUAUCCAUCAUUCUGAAUAAUGAGAAAGCCCAUUUUAUCAGGACACCAAACAUUCGGUAAAUACCACCCAUAAAAGCUCAUGCCAGUUAGCUCACGAAUAUGCAACAAGGAUGUCUUUUCAGUAUUGAUUCAUGCAGAAAUAAAUUCUGAGUGAUUUUUUUUCCACCGUUGGUAAUCAAUCAAAUCUAUAUUCUAUGAAACUUUCCUCAUCCAGAAGCGAGUAAUCUUAUACAUGUUCUGUAAACUCAUCGUACAGUUGAUUGACUGAUCUUUGUAGCUCUAGAACAAGAUUUGCACCAAGUCUCAACUUUCUCACCAAGUCAUACUCAUCCAUUCAGGAUGAUUUUGAAGCCAUUGGGUUUAUACCGAGCCAGACAAGAUUUACACUUAGUAAAAUUUACCUAUUUCACCAUUGUAUAAUAUGUAAAAGUUUGGGUACAUCAAUUUUUCUAGUAUCUUAAACCAAGAUAUUGUUUGAUUUUCAGGUUUCUAAAGAAGAGUUUGUAGAGGAGUUUUGCAGAGAAGAUGAGAAGAAAUUCUUGUAUAUAUUUUUUGUGUCUUUUCCAAUGCAAGAAUCCUGCUUUUAUACACAUUACAUGUAAUUAAUAACAGAAUCCUAGAUUUUAGGAAUCAAUUCAUCUCAACCAUUCAUCAAUUGAGGGCUACGAUUCUUACACAUGUAAGAAACAGUUUGUAACAGAAAUUAACAGAAAAAACUGCUAUAACUGCUAUAACUGCUUUAACUGUUUUUUUAACUGUUGUAACUGCUUUUAACAGAAACUUCUUCCAUUACUUCAUUCUUCAUUCUUCUGUUUAUAACCUCAGGCUUUACUUCUGAAGCUUUAAAAACAAGUAACCACCUUAACUUUCAACAGCCUCUCCUAAGCUGCUUACUGGUUUAACUCCAAGAUUCAAUCUUAGUUGCUUGAAUCUGUCUUUAGGCAAUGCUUUCGUGAAGAUGUCUGCAAGUUGCUCUUCACUUCUGCAGAAUUGCAUAUUUAUCACUCCCUCUUGCAGAGCUUCUCUUAUGAAAUGAUAUUUUCUAUUUAUGUGUCUGGUUCUUUGAUGAAAAAUAGGAUUCUUGGCCAUUGAAAUUGCUGACAUGUUAUCACAGAACAAAGGUGUUGCUUCGGCUUGCAUUUCACCAAAAUCAUCAAGAACAAAUCUUAACCAAAUUGCCUGAGCUGUUGCUUCAGAUGCUGAGACAUACUCAGCUUCUGCAGUUGAUAAUGCCACUGUGUUCUGUUUCAAAGAAGCCCAAGAGAAUGCUCCACUUCCAAAACUGAAUGCAUAACCAGAGGUGCUCCUGCUGUCAUCUUCACUUCCUGCCCAAUCUGCAUCACAAAAUCCAAUAAGAGUUGCUGACUGAUCUCUAACGUAUUCAAUGCCAUAGCUGAGAGUUCCUUGCACAUAUCUUAGAACCCGUUUUGCAACUCCCAUAUGAAUUUUGGUAGGUCCAUUCAUGAACCGUGACAGCAAACUGGUAGCAUACAUCAAAUCAGGUCUUGUUGCUGUCAAAUAUAGUAAACUUCCUACUAUUUUUCUGUAAAGACCUUCAUCAGCCAACUCACUCCCAUCCACCUUCUUUAGUUUCUCACCAGUGGCCAAAGGAAUAGAGACUGGUUUGCAGUCCUCAAGCCCAAACUUACUAAGCAAGGAUUUGACAUACUUGCUUUGAUGAAUGAAUACUCCUUGAUCGGUUUGCAGUAUUCCCAUGCCAAGAAAAUGGUGAAGAAGUCCAAGAUCAGUCAUCUCAUAUCUCUGCAUCAUUUCCUUUUUGAACUCACUCAGCAUCCUCUCGCUACUACCAGUAUAUACAAUGUCAUCAACAUAGAUUGAGACAAUGAUCAAAUUACCUUCAUGAUCAGACCUUGUAUACAAAGUAGCUUCACUUGUGCUCUUUUUGAAUUUGCACAUGGAGAGGUACGCAUCAAUCUCACUGUACCAGGCCCUUGGUGCCUAUUUUAAUCCAUACAAAGCCUUCCUGAGUUUGUAGAUUUUGUGUCCUGCAUUCUUUACUUCAAACCCCUCAGGCUGCUCUACAUAUACAUCUUCUUCAAGCACACCAUUUAGGAAUGCUGACUUAACAUUCAAUUGGAACAACUUCCAACCCUUUUGUGCUGCAAGUGCAAUAAGAGUUCGAAUUGUAUCUAACCUUGCUACUGGUGCAAAGGUUUCAUUGUAGUCAAUUCCAGAUUUCUGUGCAUAUCCUUUUGCCACAAGUCGAGCCUUGUGUUUCUGUAUUGUUCCAUCAAGAUGAAGUUUGGUUUUGUACACCCAUUUCACUCCUAUAACAAGUUUGUCAGUCGGUCUCUCCACCAAUUCCCAAGUAUUGUUCUUCUCUAUCAUUUCCAGUUCUUCCUUCAUAGCCUCCUGCCAGGCUUUAUCUCCAGCUGCUUCUUGAUAAUUCUCAGGUUCUAUGAUGCACAUGUGGCACCUUGCAUAUAUAUCUUCCAAGGAUUUUUAACUUUACUGGAGUAGAGCUAGGUGUUGAUUGUUGACUGUUAUCACUGUCAGUAUUCUCAACUAACUCUUCAACUGUAGAGUUUGGAUAAGAACAUUCAACAUUAUCGGGUUGGAUUGCAGCAGAAUGUUCUUCAGGAUUUUCACCUUCAGCUUCAUCUCCUUCAAGGUUGAGAGGCAUUUGCAUUUGAUUCAUCCGAUUUCUUCCCCAAUUCCAUGACUUAUCCUCACUGAAGAUCACACUUCUUGAGAGUACAAUCUUCUCAGAUUUCAGAUCAUACACUCUAUAUCCCUUUUCACAACUGCCAUAUCCAACAAAGACUCCUUUUCCAGCUUUGCUAUCCCAUUUCUGCCUUAGGGAUGAUGGGAUAUGUGUGUAGCAUAAACACCCGAACACUUUCAGGUGCUUGACUCCUGGCUUUCUUCUUGUGAAGGCUUCAAAUGGUGUUUUUUCCAUAACUGAUGUUGUGUAACAUCUGUUUUGAAGAUAAACGGUUGUACUCACAGCUUCUGCCCAGAAUCUCACUGGCAUUUCUUUCUCUAUCAACAUGGACUUUGCCAUCUCACAGAUUGUCCUGUUUCUCCUCUCUGCAACUCCAUUCUGUUGAGGAGAGUAUGCAAUUGUCAGCUGCCUCUCCAUUUCUUGUUUUACACAGAAUUCUUGAAACUCAUUUGAGGUAUAUUCACCAGCUCUGUCACUCCUCAACUUCUUCAAUUUAUACCCACUUUGCAGUUCAACAAGAGCUUUAAAUUUCUUGAACACAUUAAGUGUAUCAGAUUUAUUUCGGAGGAAGUAUACCCAGCACAUUCUUGAGUAGUCGUCAUUGAAUGUGAUGAAGUAUUUGUUCCCCCCAACUGAUUCGUUCUGAAUUGGUCCACACAGGUCUGUGUGUAUCAGCUCCAGUGGAUAGCUUGCUCUCCACGUUUGUUCUUUGUUAAAUUUCUCCCUGUGAUGUUUUCUUGAAGCACAGCCUGCACACACAUCUUCCACUUCUGUCAAUACAGGAAGUCCACAUACCAUCUCCUUCUGCUGCAUCUUUUUCAUGCUAGCAAAGUUCAAGUGUCCCAGUCUUCUAUGCCAUAUCCAGGAAUCUUCAAUCACUGAUGCUUUCCUUGCUGCAGGUGUCAUGGACUCAAGUGAAAGGGGAAAGCAUCGAUUUCCUCCCAUGGUUACUAUUGCUACAAUAUUGUUGAGGCUUUCAUCAUCAAAUAUCAUUGCUUUGUUACCUCCAAACAGGAUGUAAUAACCAUGCUCCAUCAUCUGGCUUACACUUAAUAGGUUUUCAUCCAAUCCUGGAACAAGCAGCACCUCUUGUAUGUAUCUCUUCCCAUGCUGAGUCUUCACCACCAGUGUGCCUUUUCCAGUUGCUUACACAAGAUCUCCAGAGCCCAUCUUUACUUUGCAGGUUACAGUUCUAUCAAUGUUGAUUAGUUCAGAUUCUUGAGAUGUCAUAUGGUUCCUGCAGGCACUGUCCACGAACCAUAUAUUUAUGUCUUGCAGACUUGCAGAAUGACAAGCAUAGAACAUGGUUCCUGUGGUUACUCCUUCUUCCUUUGCAUAGUUGGCUAAUUGUUUGUGACUGUGACUAUCACAGUCCUUUGAAAUAUGGCCAAAUCGAUUGCAUCUUCCACAUCUUGGUUUUCCUUUGUGCCUGCACAAUCCAUGAUGAUGCUUCUGGCAGACCUGACACUGUGGUUUUACACCUGCUUGACUGCUCCCCUCAACAGUGUUAUUCCAGCUUGAAUUGUUGUAGCUAUUCAGGUUUCUGUUUGGAGUCCAAUUUGAUCCCCUCCUGUCUUGUGAUUGCCAUUUUUUAGUAGAUCUGCCUUGGAAACCCUUAUGUGAGCUGUAGGCUUGAUUGUUUCCAACCUUUAAACUGCUAAAGGUUUUUUCUGUUCCUGUUAACUUGUCCCUUUCUUCAUGCAGAUCCUCCCUCUUAUCAUAAACUUUGACAGAUGCAAUGACCUCUUCUGCUCUUAGAACAUCAAGGUCUCGUGUCUCUUCAAUGAUAGACACGAUGGACUUAUAUCUUCUGCUUAAACUCAUUUGCAAUUUUUGCACAAUUCUGGUUUCUGAUACAUCUUCUCCUAAUGAUUUCAGAUUAUUCACAGUUGCAAAGAAUUUUGCUAGAUAACCAUCUAAACUUUCACCUUCUGACAUUCUCAUGUAUCCAAAAUCUGCUCUAAUUGCUUGAAGUUUCACAGCUCUAACCUUUUUAUCUCCUCUGAAUUCUCUGCUCAAAAUGUCCCAAGCUCCUUUUGCAGUCUUCUCGUUUCUUAUGCGUGGGAAAAGGUCAUCUGUUAAUGCUCCUUGUAUGAGGCUUAAUGCCUUUGCAUUCUUAAUUUUGUUUUCUCUGGAGGUAGUGGAUGUUUGCAAAGUGGUUUGCUCAGCAUCACUCUCUUCAUUUCCUGAUCCAUCUGCAGCCUCAAGUGAUUGUUUAGAUUGUAUUCCAUCUUCUAUUAUGUCCUAUAGAUCGAAUGCUAUGAGGGUUGUCUCCAUUUUUACAGCCCAAAAAUCAUAAUUUGUGCCAUUGAACUGUGGAGUUCUUAGAUCUCCUCCAGCAGAGCUUGAUCCUACCAUUUUGAGUAAGCAACAGUUUAAUCAAUCUGUUUUCACAGUUUACGCCCCUCUUAGGAAUUAGUUUUAGAGCUCUGAUACCAUGUUUGAUUUUCAGGUUUCUAAAGAAGAGUUUGUAGAAGAGUUUUGCAGAGAAGAUGAGAAGAAAUUCUUGUAUAUAUUUUCUGUGUCUUUUCCAAUGCAAGAAUCCUGCUUUUAUACACAUUACAUGUAAUUAAUAACAGAAUCCUAGAUUUUAGGAAUCAAUUCAUCUCAACCAUUCAUCAAUUGAGGGCUACGAUUCUUACACAUGUAAGAAACGGUUUGUAACAGAAAUUAACAGAAAAAACUGCUAUAACUGCUUUAACUGUUUUUUUAACUGCUGUAACUGCUUUUAACAGAAACUUCUUCCAUUACUUCAUUCUUCAUUCUUCUCGUUAUAACCUCAGGCUUUACUUCUGAAGCUUUAAAAACAAGUAACCAGCUUAACUUUCAACAGAUAUUUCAUCAUGAAUUUUGUAAUAUGUAAGUUCUUUUUAGGUAACGUAUUUUUAGUCUAUUCAAUAAUACUAUUAUAAUUGAUCUGAUUUGAUAAUAAACAUUACAAUGGUAAUUAAUUUACACAGAUAAGUUGUGUACCCAUUCCAUAUGUGUGCUUUUACUGUGAGUUAUAAACUACUAAAUUCACUUUCUUGGAUGUUGUUAGGAUUGCAAGAUGUGUGCUUUUGCAAAUAAUUUAGGCUUCCAGAUGGGCAUCCUUGUGUGCUUGUAAAUGCUGGUAGCAAGUGCUGAUAAAAUAUGUACAAAUAUUUAUCUGAAAUGGCCCGGGGAGUUGAUUUCUGGGAAAUAACUUGAAAAAAAUGCUUUAACGAAGAAGUAAGAUAAUAAUAUUUAAAUACUUCAGCUAAUUGGUGUGUUACAGAAUCUUGAAUUAUCGACAGUUGAUCCUGCAAGCUUUUUUUUCUCAUUUGUCAGAUAUUUGAAAUUGUUUUCGUUGCUAGAUUCAAAAUGGCUGCUGGGAAACAUCAAGAACCCUCGUCUUCACGGUCUUCUCCUUGCAAAUAUCAAGUGUUCUUGGGUUCAGGGGCAAGGACACCCACAAGUACUUUACUGAUCGCUCUUCACAGCCCUUGUUCAAGCAGGGAUUCACACAUUUAGAGACGAUGAUGAAAUUGGGAGAGGAGAAAAUAUCAAGUCAGCUCCGACAGGCAAUACAACAAUAAAAAAAUAUCGAUAAUUGUGUUCUCCAAAGAUUAUGCUUCGUCGAUGUGGUGCUUCGAUGAACUUGUAAUGAUCAUGGAGUGUAAGAGGAAUGCUGACUGCAUAGUUUUGCCAGUAUUCUAUGAUGUGGAUCCAUCUGAAGUCGCUGUAGCAUUAAUAUUGGAUCAUGAAAAGCGUUUCAAGGAGGAGAUGGAGCGAGUGAAUUGGUGGAGGAUUGCUUUGUAGAAAAUUGCAGAUUUAGGAGGAAUGGUUUUAGGAAAUGGGUAAGUUGUAUUUCUGAAUGAAAUUACAAAUAUCAUAAGACUAGAAUGCUGGUAGUGAACUCUUAAUUUUUUCAGGUUUGUAGUAAAGCAUUUAGACAAUGACUGAUAUUACCUCUCCAAUUUAGAAAAAAACUGUACCACUCCCAACUCAGUGAACAUUAAAGAAAAAUAAAAAUAAAAGAAACUUUUUUUUCUCAUUUUCAGAUAUUUUUGUUCUUAGUUACUUGAAAAAAGCAAUGAUUUCUACAUUAUUCCAUUUUCGGUUUCAAUCAUUGACGCACAGCCUGGUUUAAUUUCUUUUUUCCAAGAUACUAAGAUUUUGAAACUUUAUAGAGAGACUACUAAUUAUCAUAUAUUGCAUUUUUCUUUUUGAUGCAGGCAUGAGGCACAGCUUGUCCAAUCUAUUGUCGACAAGGUCUCAAAGAAAUUGGAUCGUAAAAUAUUUCAUAUCCCCCUUCAUUUCAUUGGAAGAGAUCCUCUAGUAAAAAACAUAUCAACUUAUGGUUGCAAGAAUAUGGCUCCCACAGUUCUGCCUUUGAUAUACUCUAUGGGAUUGGUGGAGUAGGGAAGACAACCAUAGCAAAUAGUGUUUAUAACCAGCAGUUUCAUAAGUUUGAAGGUAGGAUCUUUCUAUCAAAUGUUAGAGAAUAGUCAAAAGAAUCCAAUGUUGUAGUUUGCCUACAGAGGCAACUUCUUUCAGAUAUCCUAAACAAUGCUGAUGACAUACAUGAUGUUGAUGAAGGGAUUAUAUUAAAGACGCGUUAUGUUGCAGAAGAAAUCUUAUUGUUCUUGAUGAUGUGGACAAAUGGGACCACUUCAAUGCAAUUGUUGGCACGCGAAAUUGGCUUCGCCAAGGAAGUAAAUCAUUGUAAGAACUAGAAAUAAGGCUUUGAUUGUAGCUGAUGGUGAGUGUGUCAAGUGCAAAGAUGAACCUCUAGAUAACAAAAAAUCACUUAAUCUUUUGAGUUGGCAUGCCUGUGGACAAGCUUACCCAGUUGAAGAUUUUAUUGAGGAAUCUUGGAGAAUAGUACAUCAUUGUAAUGGACUUCCAUUAGCCCUUUGUGCUAUUGGUGCUUCAUUUUUUAGUAAAAGCAGAAAAGUAUGGGAAAGCGCAUUACAUGAAAUGGAAGUGAUUCCAAAUUGUCAAGUUCAAAAGGUUCUUGCAAAAAGUUAGAACUCUCCUGAUGAUGAUUAUCAGAAGAACUUAUUCCUUGAUAUUGCUUAUUUCUUCAAUGGAAUGGAUGAGGAUUAUGCAGCUAGGACACUUGAUGGGUUCGGUAUAGAUGCAAGAUUUAGGAUUGACUAUCUCAUCGAUUGAUGUCUUGUAGAAAUUGUUAAAAUAAAAUAAUAAAAAUUUAUAAAUGCAUCAACUCGUAAGAGACAUGGGAAGGGAAAUUGCUCGUCAAGAAUCACCCAAAUGUCAAAGAAUAUGGCAUCACAUGGAAGCUUUUACAGUUUUGAAAGAAACAAGUGUAAGAGUAACUGGUUCUGUUUUCCUAUCUUCAUGGUAUUUAGGUGUCUUAAAAUGUUCAUGCUUUUACUUUCUUUUCUCAUUUAUUUUCAAUAUUUUGGAAGCAUGAUGCUGAAAAAUUGUGUGGCCUUACCCUGUAUAUGCAUGAAUCCGUACAGAAGUUGUCUGUACUGAUUCAAUGGUUCGCCUGCAACCGCUGCAGGCUUAACUUCUUUCAACAAUGUCUUCUUCCUACAUUCCUCUCUCAAUAGUGGCUUUCUGAGUUUUUCUUGGGGGAACAAGUACAAAUUGACCAAACAAGUUUGUUUCUUGUCCUCAGCACGAAACAAAUUUUCUCUACAUUUUUAUAAGUUCUUGAUCUCUGUUGCUUAUUUUAUAAGUUCUGCUUUAUUUCAACUCUACAUUUUUGUUCUUGUAUAUCUAGAAACUUUUCCCUUUGCUCAUUUUAUAAAUUCUGCUUUGAUGGAACAGAUAGAACUUUAGGGCAACAGAUUCAAUGUUGUCCUUGAAUAUGAUGAAAAUGAGAUGUUUAGGUGGUUUCACGAGGAGGAAGAACAGGAGUAGCUACUUUAGAAAGAGUAUGUAGAGUACUUGCAAUUCAAAAUAUCCUCACCCGCUGCGCACCGGAUAUGUGGCUUUGAUCUAUUCACCGAGUCUGGGUUUCUUACCCCUUAAUUUUUCGAUAGAAUUUUUGGCCGAAAUGAUGUCAAUAGCCAUCAACUUCUCCUCUUAAUUAGAUUUUUCUAACUUGAUUCUUACUUCAGGAUGUCAAUAGCCAUCAACUUCUGGAAUUUAUUUUCUAACUUUUUUCUUACUUCACGAUGUCAAUAGCCGUAACUCCCGGCACCAAAAUUUUCCGACUUUCUGCUUCCGAUAUUAGCCAUGGAAAAUUCCUCACGCGGAAACGUUCCAUACCAUAGAGAGAGAGUGGACUUGUAGGGAUGACUUGUCUUAAAAUUACAAUCCACCCUUUCUCUCUCAAUUUUAAAACCAUUCGCCCAUGUCUUGGGCCCAGUUGUAGACUAGUUCUGAUUACAUAAGGGUGUGUUUGGUAUUAUGAUUUGAAAGUAUUUUAGUAUAUCAAAAUAAUUUGAAAAUAUAAAAAACAUAUUAAUUUAAAAUAAAAAAAUAAAAAAAUAAUAAUUAAAAUUUUACUUUAAAUUAAUAUGUUUUUUAUGUUUUUGUAUCAUUUUGAUGUGCUAAUGUCAAAAAUAAUUUUUAAAAAUAAAAAAAAAAUUAUUUUAAUGUGUUUUGGAAUGAAAAACACUUUGAAAAACAACCGCUACCACACUCUCAAACACGCUCCUAAAAUAAAUUUCAGGUAAUUGCGUUAUCCAAUUAACUUAAAUAACUAUUUGGGAAUGUGGUUGUAGUUGCUUUUUAAAGUGUUUUUCAUUUGGAAAUGCCUCAAAAUGAUAUUUUUUUUUUAUUUUUAAAAAAUUAUUUUUGAUAUCAGCGCAUCAAAAUGAUUUGAAACACUAAAACAAUAUUAAUUUAAAGCAAGGAAAAAAAGAAAAAAAAAUUCAAAUUUUUUCAGAAAUGCUUUUGAAACACAAAAACAAACAUGAUCUUAAGUCAAUUAUUUUAUUUUUUGUUUUAAAAUAAAUUAUUUGAUGUUGAUCUGAUUGAAUUUCAUUCGGAGUUAGCAAGACUUAGUUAAAUUAAUAUUUUUUUUAUUUAAAUUUAAAUUUAAAUUUUAUUUAUAAAAAAUCUGAUUCAGGAGUUUUUUAUAUCCGAGAACAAACUAUUAAAGACCUCAAAUUCCAUAAAUCUUAAAUUCUAAAUAAACAAGAAAUUAAAUUAUUUAAAUGAAAUACUAAUCUAAAAAUUAUACUGGUUGACUAAUUUAUUUAAUUUAACCAAUUGCUUUGUUUUUCAAUUAAUUCUUCAUAAAUCUACUUUACUUUCAACAUAUUCAAAUGAUGCAACAAGAAUUACAGGGCCCGGUAAACUUUCCAAGUCAGAUAUGAAGAGCCUUAUCCUCCACGUGCCUUUAUCUUACUGGUGGGUGAAGUAAGAAGAACCGUGUGAGUUGAUGGGAGGGAUUAUGUGUUGUGUGUGUGUCUAAUGUCCCUUUUGGUAAUUAUAGCAAGAAUUACAGGCCCUAGUAAACGCGUGAUAAAUGAUUUGAGCAAAUUAAAUAAAAAAAGGGUCCUCACGCGGGAAAUGGUCCAUACCACAACGACUUGUAAGGCUGACUUGAAAGCAUAAAAUUGAUGAACUGAUAAGAGAACAUCAGCGAAGGGAAAGUGAAGAUUGCAGGUACUCUCUCUCUCUUAUCUCUUUUAGUAUUAUGUUAUAUUGUGGAAUGUAACUCUGCUGUAAGUGAGAAUCACUUAAAUUAAUUCACUGUUAGAAACUAAUUAUUGAUGAUCUCAUCAACCGAUUUUGUUGGUUCAGCAUAGAGAUUUAUCAUAUUGUGGAAUGUACAGAUAUUUUUCUGAAAGGGCAUGGAGGAUUUGAUUGCUGGGAAAUAACUUGAAAACUGUUUUAAAGAUAAAGUAAGAUAAUAAUAUAUGAAUACUUCAGCUUAUUGGUGUGCUGUCGAUCUUGAACUCUCGACAUCAAUCCUGCAACUCGUUUUAUUUUGUUCAGAUCUUUGAAAAGUCUUAUCUUUGCUAGACUCGAAAUGGCUGCUGGGAAAUAUCAAGAAUCCUACUCUUCACGAUUUUCUAAUUGUAAAUAUCAAGUGUUCUUGAGUUUUAGAGGUGAAGACACCCGCAAGAACUUUACCGAUCACCUCUACAAGGCCCUGGUUGAUGCAGGGUUUCACACAUUUAGAGAUGAUGAUGAAAUUCGGAGAGGAAAGAAUAUAGAGCUGGAGCUCCAGAAGGCAAUACAACAAUCAAAAAUAGCGAUAAUCGUGUUCUCCAAAAACUAUGCUUGGUCGAGAUGGUGCCUCGAUGAACUUGUAAUGAUCAUGGAACGUAAGAGGAAUGCUGACUGCAUAGUUUUCCCAGUAUUCUAUCAUGUAGAUCCAUCUGAAGUCAGAAAUCAAACUGGGAGCUUCGCUGCAGCAUUUGUGGAACAUGAAAAGCACUACAAGGAGGAGAUGGAGCGGGUGAAUGGGUGGAGGAUUGCUUUGAAGGAAGUUGCAAAUUUAGCUGGAAUGGAUUUAGGAGAUGGGUAAGUUAUAUCUCUUGAUGAAACUAUACAUUGCAUAAGACUAGAAUGCUGGUCGUGAACUCUUGAUUUCUUUCGGUUAAGUGUACUGAUAAGAAAACAUAUAAGAAAAAUAAAAUAAAAUACUUAUAAUUUCUUCUUCUUCUUCUUCUUUUUCGAUCAUGAUUUGGUUUUAAUAGGUGGUGAUCAUAACACACCUACAAAUUUAACUAUCAAUCAUGGACACGCAACCCGGUUUAAUUUCUUAGUUAAAUGUUGUUUAUUUCUAUCCUUUAUAGAGAGGCUACUAAUUAUCCCACGUUGUAUUUUACUUUUUGAUGUAGGUACGAGGCACCGUUUGUCCAAUCUAUUGUGGAGAAUGUCUCAAAGAAUUUGGAUCCAAAAAUAUUUUAUGUCCCCCUUCAUUUCAUUGGAAGAGAUGCUCGAGUACAAGAUAUCAACUCAUUGUUGCAAGAUGGAUCCCAUGGUGCUGCCAUUGCUUUACUCUAUGGAAUUGGUGGAGUUGGAAAGACAGCCAUAGCUAAGAGUGUUUUUAACCAGAACUAUUAUAAAUUUGAAGGAAAGAGCUUUCUAUCAAAUUUUAGGUCAAAGGAUAUAGUUUGCCUACAGAGGCAACUUCUUUUCGACAUCCUAAACAAGACUGUCGAGAUAAAUGAUGAAGAUGAAGGAAUUCUGAAGAUUAAGGAUGCAUUAUGUUGCAGAAGAACUCUUAUUAUUCUAGAUGAUGUGGACAAAAGGGACCAAUUCAAUAAAAUCAUUGUCAUGCAAAAUUUGCUUUGUAAAGGAAGUAAAAUCAUUGUAACAACCAGAAAUAAGGGUCUGUUUUCAGCUAAUGAUAUUCAGUGGAUCCGGUACAAAGUUGAACUGCUAGAUGAUGAAAAAUCACUUGAGCUUUUUGUUGGAAAUUUGGCAGAAAUAGAGAACAGAAAUUGAAGGGUUUAGGCUGCACACUCUCUAAUUUGGUAGAAUACAAUACAUAUGAAAAUGGUACUCUCACUCCUUUUUCAUUAUGAGAUUCAUACAAUAUAUAGACAUUAAUAGUUGCGACUCUUCAAUACUAAUAGUUGUAACUCUUCAAUACUAAUAAUUGUGAUCUUCAAUACUAAUAGAUGCAACUCUUCAAUACUAAUAAUUGUGACUCUUCAAUACUAAUCUUGAUAAAUAAGUUUAAUAACUAACAUUCACCCCUCUUAAACUUGUUUCAUCAAUCUUCACGAUUCCAAGCUUCUUCUGCAGAUAACAAAAAACUUCAGUCUUCAAUGGCUUUGUAAAAAUAUCAGCAAUCUGUUCAUGAGUGUUGACAUGAACUAACUCCACAUCGCCUUCUUUUAUGUGCUCUCUAAUAAAAUGAAAUCGAGUAUCAAUAUGCUUUGAACGUUCAUGAUGCACUGGAUUCUUUGCAAGAGCUAUAGCAGACUUGUUAUCAACGAAAAUUCUUGUGGCUUCACUCUGUUUCUGUUGCAGAUCUUCCAUCAAUUUCCUUAGCCAUAUUGCAUGACACACGCAUGAUGCAGCAGCAAUGUAUUCUGCUUCACAUGUGGAUAAUGCAACAAUAGAUUGUUUCUUGGAUGUCCAUGUGAAUGUUGUUUCUCCCAUGAAAAAUAUGAAUUCAGUUGUGCUUUUCCUGUCUUCCAAGCUUCCUGCCCAAUCACUAUCACUAUAACCUGUGAUUUUGAAAUUCUGUGAUGAUGAAUAACAUAAUCCAUAGUUUAAUGUUCCUUUAAUAAACCGAAGGAUCCUCUUUGCUGCCUUCAAAUGUGAACUCCUUGGUCUCUCCAUGUAUCUGCUAACCAAACCAACUCCAAACAGAAUGUCUGGUCUAGUACAAGUUAGAUAACGCAAACACCCCACAAUACUUUUGUAAUAUGUAGGAUUAACUAAAUCUCCUUCUCCUUCUUUAGUUAACCUCGUUCCAUACUCAACUGGAUUGUCUGCUGGAUCACAAUCUUCCAUAGCAAAUUUCUUUAACACUUCUGUUGCAUACUUGGCUUGAGAAACGAAAAUUCCAUUACUGCAUUGCUUCACUUCUAAUCCCAGAAAAUAUGCUAGAAGACCUAAGUCUGUCAUCUCAAAUUCCUUUACCAUGGAUUGCUUGAAAUCUUGAAUCAUUGUAGGAUCAUUCCCUGUGAACAGAAUAUCAUCCACGUAUAAGCAAACAAACAUUAUUCUAUCAUGCAAGUUUUUCUUCACAUAUAAUGCAUGUUCAUACGGGCAUUUUGUAAACCCCUUCUGAGAAAGAUAGCCAUCAAUUCUUGAGUUCCAUGCUCUUGGUGCUUGUUUGAGUCCGUAAAGGGCUUUCUUCAAUCUGCACACCUUUUCUUCUUCUUCUUUUACUACAAAACCAGCUGGUUGCUCAACAUAUACUUCCUCUUCAAGAUUGCCAUUCAAGAAUGCUGAUUUUACGUCCAUCUGAAAUAUCUUCCAUUGUUUCUGAGCAGCCAAUGAAAUCACCAAUCUCACAGUUUCCAUUCUUGCUACUGGAGCAAAAACAUCUUCAUAAUCUACUCCAUAGCGUUGCUUGUACCCUUUUGCAACUAAUCUGGCUUUAUGUUUUUCAAUUUCUCCUUCAGCAUUCUUCUUUGUCUUGAAGAUCCAUUUUACUCCGAUUGCAUUGUGACCUUCAGGAAGUGUUGUCAGCUCCCAUGUAUUGUUCUUCUGAAUGGAAUUGAUCUCCUCCUUCAUUGCUUUCUUCCACUUGUCUUCCUGAUAUGCUUCUUCAAAUGUUAUGGGAUCAUUUCCUGAAAACAAACACAACAUGUUGACAUCAUCAAGGUUCAUUCUCUCUGUCGCGUCAUAGACUUCUUGUAUGCUCUUUGUUUUUCUUGCUGAACUUGAAGGACUAGCGGGGCUGCUAGUUGAUGGGGCUGGAUUGAUUAUGAUUUCUUCUUCAUCAUUCUGCAUUUGUUCUUCUUCUACAACCAAUUUCUGCAGUUGUUCCUCAGUACUCCAGUUCCAUUCUUGCUCUUCAUCAAAUCUCACAUCUCUUGACAUGAUCACCUUUUUUGUUACUGGAUUGAACAAUUUGUAACCAUACGAAUUUUCUCCAUAUCCUAGCAGUAUGCAUUUCUGACUUUUAUCUUCAAGCUUGGUUCGUUUUUCAUCUUGAAUUUUGGCAUAAGCUGUGCUGCCAAAAAUCCUUAAGUGAUCAACUCUCGGUUUCUUCAUGCUCCAGGCUUCUUCUGGUGUAAGCAUAUGCAACCUCUUUGUUGUAAAUCUGUUCAACAAAUACACAGCACACACAACUGCAUCUCCCCAAAAUUCUUUAGGACAAUUCUUUUCUUUUAACAUACAUCUAACCAUGUUCAUAAUAGUCCUAUUUUUCCUCUCCGAUACUCCAUUCUGUUGUGGAGUCUGUGGCAUUGUGAGCUGAUGUGCUAUACCAUUCUCUUUACAAUAAUAAUCAAAAGCAUGAGACACAUACUCUCCUCCCCUAUCAGUUCUCAGAUUUUUCAGCUUGCAUUCACUUUGCUUUUCUACUAGAUUUUUAAAUUCCUUAAACUUGCUCAGCACUUCUUUUUUUUCUUUCAACACAUAUACCCAUGUUUUUCCACUAAAAUCAUCAGUGAAUGUAAGGAAAUACCUGUUUCCCCCUAUUGUUGUAGGUGUAAUUGGCCUACACACAUCUGAAUACACCAAUUCCAGAGGCUGAGAUGCUCUAGAACUCUUCUUUGGGAAGGAUUUUCGGUGCUGCUUUCCCAUCACACACACUUCACACAAAUCGUUUGUGUGUUCGAGCUGUGGUAUUCCCAGAACCAUCCUGUGUUUCUCCAUCAUCAUUAAUGAUCCACAAUUCAGAUGUCCAUAACGCAAAUGCCACAAGUUCGUCAGAUUUGAACUUUCUGCCUUGAAACAGUUUGACAUACACACAUUUACGUCAAGAGGAAACAUCCUGUUUUUGGUCAUCUUGACUGAGGCAAUUAAAGCUCCAGAUUCAUCAAAAAUCUUCAAGUUCUUAUUCUUCAUCUGCACUUCAAAAUCUUGCUCCAGAAAUUGUCCCAGACUUAAGAUGUUACUCUUCAUGUCUGGAACGUAAAAUACUUCUGUUAUGAAUUUCUGCUCACCAUUCUUGAGUUGUAUAAGAAUUCGGCCUCUUCCUUCAACAGGUAUUUGAGAAAGAUCUCCAAAAGUGAUUUUUCCUUUGUAACUCUCAUCAAUAUCUGCAAAUGCUUCCUUCAUGCCACACAUAUGAUUUGAUGCUCCUGUGUCUAGAUACCAGGUACUAGAUCUGCUAUCAUCAAAUUUUCCACAUGCCAGCAGCAGUGCAGGUUCUUCUGAAUCACUUACCUUCUCAGCAAAAUUAACAACUUUGUCUUCAAAUCUGUAUUGUGAACAGUCAGAGGCGAAAUGACCAUAUUCCUUGCAAUUAUAACAUUGCACGCCUGUAUUGUUAUUUCUCCAGUUUGAGUAUCCUCCACGACUUCUUCCUCUGAAUCUGCCUCUGCCUCUGCCAUUGAAAUUCUGAUUUCGUGCACCAUGAAAUUCUUGAUUUCUAUAUGAUCUUCCUCCUCUUCCUCUUCUAUGAAAAAAUCUGCCUCUCUGGAAUGCUCCUCUGUUGGAUUCAUUGGAAUUCUUCAAAGUUAUCUGUGUCUGCAGAGCAUGUUCAAGUGUUCUUCCUUCUCCUCUUCUGUCAAUUUUCUGCUCAUGGGCUUGCAGUGAUCCCAUUAACUCUUCUACUAUCAACUCUUCUAAAUCUUUUGAUUCUUCAAUUGCUACAACCACAUGGUCAAACUUUGAAUCCAGUGAUCUCAAAAUUUUCUCCAUCACACGAACAUCAUCAAUAUUUUCACCAUUCCUUCUCAUCUGGUGAACCAAAGUGAUUACUUUUGUAAAGUAAUCUGAGAUUGUCUCAUUGCCUUCUUUGUUCAGCUUCUCAAAAUCUCCUCUCUGAGAUUGUAGCCGAACUCUUUUUGUUUUUUCAACUCCACUAUAAGUUUUACUAAGCAUUUCCCAUGCUUCCUUUGAUGUCUUUGCUGGUGCCACCAUCUCAAGGGUUGCUUCAUCAAGCCCUUGAUAAAUUGUGAAUAACGCCUUGUUGUCUUUCUUUCUUGAUUCUCUCAGUACUUGUCUCUCUGCAUUGCUCAUCACAGCGUCUUCUCUUGGUUCAGUAUAACCAUCUUCAACCAGCUCCCAUAACUCUUGUGAUCUAAGUAGUGCUUUGUAUUGGAUGCACCACAAAUCAUAGUUUUGUUUGGUAAGGCGAGGAACAUGAAAUUGGGAAUUGUUGUUGUUGGAAGUCAUGUUGUCUCUCGGGCUCUGAUACCAAUUUUGUUGGAAAUUUGGCAGAAAUAGAGAACAGAUAUUGAAGGGUUUAGGCUGCACACUCUCUAAUUUGGUAGAAUACAAUACAUAUGAAAAUGGUACUCUCACUCCUUUUUCAUUAUGAGAUUCAUACAAUAUAUAGACAUUAAUAGUUGCGACUCUUCAAUACUAAUAGUUGUAACUCUUCAAUACUAAUAAUUGUGAUCUUCAAUACUAAUAGAUGCAACUCUUCAAUACUAAUAAUUGUGACUCUUCAAUACUAAUCUUGAUAAAUAAGUUUAAUAACUAACACUUUUCAGUUGGAAUGCCUUUGGACAAGCUAACCCUGUUGAUGGUUUUGUGGAAGACUCUUGGAGAAUAGUACAUCAUUGUAAUGGACUUCCAUUAGCUCUUGGAGUUAUUGGCUCUUCAUUGUCCGGAAAAGGAAGAGAAAUAUGGGAAAGCGCAUUAAAACAAAUGGAAAUGAUUCCUAAUUUUGAUGUUCAAAAGGUUCUUCAAAUAAGUUACGACUUUCUUGAUGGUGAUUAUCCGAAGAACUUAUUCCUUGAUAUCGCAUGUUUCUUCAAUGGAAUGGAUGUGGAUGAUGCAGUUAGGAUACUGGAUGGGCUCGAUAAAGGUGCAAGAUUUGGGAUUGACAAUCUCAUCGAUAGAUGUCUUGUUGAAAUCAACAGUGAUCGAAGGUUGUGGAUGCAUCAACUAGUAAGAGAUAUGGGUAGGGAAAUUGCUCGUCAAGAAUCACCCAAAUGUCAAAGAAUAUGGCAUCAUGGGGAUGCUUUUACAGUUUUGAAAGGAACUACUGUAAGUAGUUGAAUUUUUUUAAAUGUCUACUUAAAUGGUUUGUGGUGCCUUGACAUAUUCAUUCAUCUACUUUCCUUUCUCAUGUACUUUUAAUAUUCUUAUGCAGGAUGCUGAAAAAUUGCGUGGCCUUACCAUUGAUAUGCAUGCAUUAAUGGAAGAUCAUUAUGCAGAAGUUGUCUGUACUGAUUCAAUGGUUUGUCGCAAGCGCCGCAGGCUUAACUUCAUUCAACAAUGGCUUUCCGAUUUUUCCGAUGGGGGGAAAUUACAAACUGGCCAAACAAGUUUGUUUCCCAUCCUCAGCACGGAUGCUUUUAGAAAGAUGCCAGAUAUAAAAUUUCUCCAACUAAACUACACUAAAUUUCAUGGAAGUUUUGAGCACUUUCCCAAGAAUUUGAUAUGGUUAUGUUGGCAUGGAUUGUCUUGGAGCUCCAUACCAAAUCACAUAUGCUUGGAGAAGCUGGUGGUUCUUGAUCUAUCCAGAAGCUGUCUAGUUGAUGCUUGGAAGGGCAAACCGGUAUGAUCAAGUCUCUUUAUAGCUAUCUCUCUCGUUUUCAAUUGAUAACAACUAAAUUCAUGUAUUUUCACAGUUUCUUCCAAAAUUGAAAAUUCUUGAUCUCCGUCACUCUCGUGAUCUCAUUAGAACCCCAGACUUCUCGGGUCUCCCAGCCCUUGAAAAGCUAAUACUUGAAGACUGCAUCCGUUUGGUUCAAAUUCACGAAUCUAUUGGUGAUUUACAAAGAUUGUUGAUCUUAAAUCUAAGAAAUUGUACAAGUCUUAUGGAGCUUCCAGAAGAAAUGAGUAGAUUGAAUUCACUUCAAGAGCUGGUUUUAGAUGGUUGCUCAAAUCUUAACAGCCUGAAUAUGGAGCUAGAGCAUCAUCAGGGACGCAAGUUGCUUCAAAGUGAUGGAAUUGUUGCAAGUACAUCAUUCAUUUCAUCUCUUUCAUUGAAGCUAUUCUUUCCCUCUAGGUUUUCAACGAGAAAAAUGUUGAGAUUUACCUCGUUUUCACUGCCACGCUUCUUGGAGAGUCUAGAUUUAAGUGGAACUUCAAUUCGUUUUCUUCCGGAAAGCAUCAAGGAUCUUGGUCUACUCAGACACCUAUACUUAAAAAAUUGCAAAAUGCUUCAGGGACUCCCAGUGCUUCCAUCCUAUUUAGAUUCGUUAGAUAUGUCCUUUUGCUAUUCACUGCAAAGACCUGCAAAUCCAGAUCACUUAGUCAAGUUCCAAGAUCGGAUAAAGCAAGAAUUAAUCCAAAAGUUUGAGUCUCGCGUGUUCAGAAUAAUGGAAACUGUUAGUGCUCAAAUACAGAUAUCGAGAUUUCAGGUCCUCCCUCAUCCAUUUUAUUGUUUUGGAAAUCUACAUUAGAAUACUUUUCUUUUUCUCAUUUUAUAGACAUUGUUUUGGUGGUACAGAUAAUAUUUAUGGAUGGCAUAUUCAACGUUGUCGUAUUUGUAUUUGAUGAAGAUGAGAUGUUAAGGAGGUUUGAUGAGGAGGAAGAAGAGGAUAAAUGGCUAAUUGAGAAUGAGUUUGUAGAGAACUUUUCAUUCAAAAUAUCCUCAUCACCUCUUGCGCACCGGAUAUGUGGCUUUAAUCUGUUCUUAAGUUGUGUGACGUCAGCAUACCGUGGCUUUAGUUAUGUUUAUAUUGAAAUCAGAAACAAUACCAGUGGCCAGUCCUUGCGUCGUCAAGUCCAUGUCUUUGAUAUGCGUUUCGAGGAUGAGGUUCGUGCAAUCCAAUCGCUAAGCCACUGGAAAUUAGGGGGCGAUGAUCCUACAUUUGAUAGUGGUGAUGACGUGACAAUUUCAAUGGUUGUCACGUCAGCUAUUCAAAUAAGGACCGUUGGUGUACAAUGGUUGCAUGAAGAGGAAGGAAAGGAUGAUGAUAUCCAAUCAAAGGAUGAAGUUAUCAAUGCCCACAACAGUAGCGAUGAUGAUGAUGAUGCAGCACACAUACCCAAAGUAGAAAUAGCUUCUCGUAUUUUUAGAAAUUAUUAUUGUGGUUACCAUGGUAAAUACAGUGCUCGCAAUUUCACUUAUUGGAAUUUUGCAAAGAAGGGUGUAUUAUUUCAACCGUAAGGGGGUUUUGUAUCUCUAGUAAUCUUCCUCCUUUCUUUGUCUAGCAUGAGAUAUUUUAUUUAUAAAUAUUUGUAAGGGCUUUCAUAUUCAAAAAUGUAAUAUGAUAUUAUUUUAUUAAUUUGUAUUUAUAAUAAGACAUAUUAAAUAUCUUAUUUUAUAUGUUAACCUUUUAUUGACCAAAAUAUAUGUAAAUGUUCAUUUUUUUUCAUGUUAUUUUAUCUAUUUUAUUUCAUCUUUUUAUGUAAAAAUAAAAUAAAAAUAACACAUGAUAAAAUUUAAUUAGAAAAUUUUUUUUGUUUCUAUAUAUAUCCUCUCGUAACACGUUUACUUUUAAUAAAAAAUAAAUAAGCAUGUUUGACUAAGAGGAUUUUAUAAUUUGAAUCUAUUUUAUUUUAAUUAAAAAUUGAAUUGAUUUUAUUGAAUUUUCACAAUAAAUUAAUAUAGAUAUUUUUAUUGUAAAAAUAAAAUAUAAUAAUCAUCAAAAUUAGAAAUUUAAAAAUUAAUUUUGAUUGAAAAUUAUCAAAUUAAAAAAUAGAAUUAAAAUUCAAUAACAAAAGUGGAAAUCGUAAAAUUUUCUAUGAGACUCUUUCUUUUCAUAAAAAAAACAGUUACUUUGAGAUCUUGGUUUGAAAGUCUUGUUAUCCUGAAUCAAAAGACGCAAUCUGUUCAUGAUUUCGAUUAAUGAUCGAUGCAAUUGAAUCAGUUUUCAUACACCAGCACUGCACUGGCACCUAUGACCUCAAACAUUAUGACCCUUUUUUUAUCAACAUUAUGAGGAUCUUGGAAUGUGUUUUCAUUUCCCUGGUUUUUGACAGCAACAGUUGUUCUAGGAGACGCGAGAGCCACAAAGUUCUAACCACUUGGACUUUUUAAUGGGUGGCUGUUGUAGCUAUAUCAUGGCAUGCUCUGUUGAUUUUCCCAACCCAUUCUCCUGAUGCAAGAUCAAGUGCUAAAAGUAUUCCAGGUUUAAAUCUUCAAGAAAUUGCUGAGUAUGUCUGAGGAGAAAUAGACCGCAACCUCAUCUUGUAGAGAAUGACCAACGCCACAGAGCUAUGGUUUUGUGUAGACCCUCACAAACCCAUCUUUGCUUCUUUUUUAAGAACUGAGUGGAGGAGGCGGUGGGAGUGGCCCGAUGGCAGUGAUGGAGGUAUUAAAAGCUCGACCUGUGUUGUUGCACAUACACAAGGUUACCUUCUGUAGAAUUUCAAACUUCUGCAAUAACAGUCCUAUAAGCUCUUUAUUAUCUGGGUAACCGCAUGGCAUUCUCUUGCUAUAGGGAGGGUUUUUUUGUACAAAAAAAGAAUAAGGAGGAAUGAUGAGAAACAGAAGAGCAAGAAGGGACGAAGAUAAAAACAGAGAACAUGGGGGAACGAAGGAGAAGACUAAAAAAUACAGGGGGUGAGAAGGAACGAGUGAUGAGAAACAGAACCAGGGAAGACAAACGAGCCUAACACAGAGACGAAAACGAGAAAACACAGAGGAGGGAGCUUCCAUUCAACCAGCAGCACCUCACGCCUUCAUCACCAUCGUCUUCAUCCUGAGCAGAAAACCCAGAGAGAAAGCAAAAGGAAAGAACCAGUCAGAGUAAAGAAAGCGAAAGGAGGAACAGAGGAAGUAUUACAUAAAGCAUCAAAAAGUACGAAGUCAACAGAUGUUCUGCAAGAUGACACUACCUCAAGACAACUAAAGUAAUAUCCAGAAUCAGAGCUCUGCAAAUUAAUGAAAAUUAUCAAUGAGGACAUUACCAUCCCCAUUUGCUGUUCUCUCCAGCUGAUCAUCAUCCCCUUGUUGCUACUAACCAUUUUCCAAGACUGUGAAUUCCACAAGCCCAUUUGAUGUUUUCUCUAAAACAACUAAAAAACGCUUGAGUUCUCUUCCAAUUUUCCGAUGAGCCAAGUCAACGGGAAACCUCACAUACUCUUUUGACAACAGAAUCCUAUUACUAUCACACCAUGGAACCUCCAUUCUUAUAGAAACCCCACUCAGUAACCCUCUUGCCAUCAGCACUUGCAAUCCCUGAUUCCCUAAACCCACACUCUAUAGCCAAAGACACCAAACAUUGUGCAGCUUCAAUGUCCCUCCACUCCACAGCAAUACUCAAUGGCUCAAAACGGAACACCAGUCGGUAGCCGACCCAGUAGCUGAUUCAGAAUCAUGAUCCUCCACGUGCCUUUUUCUUAUUGGUGGGUGGUAUUGAUGCUGGUUUUGGAUGCGAGAGGAUAGAGAUACGACCAGAGCAGGCGCACAGCGAGAGUGGAUGAGUUGGAUCAUGCGGGUGUCUAAUGUCCCUUUUGGUAACUAUACCUCGCAUUCCUAUAUAAUAAAAUAUUUUAUUUAUAAUAUUGUGCUCAUAGUUUUAAAACCUAACCUGAUCGGUGAUCGAUUUGGUCUAAUAAUCAAGUUACGGGUUAGAUAAAUUAACUCAAAUUAACCCGGGUCAAUAAAAAAAAAUUAAUAAAAAAAAUUUACAAUGUCCAUGUUUGGUCACUGUCAUGUCUUACACGAAAAGACUUAAAGCUAAAAUCCAUCAUCCUUUCUUGCAUGGUCUUAUCUCUAUAUGUCACUCCCAAAUAAAUCCAGCAGAGCCCCUUUCCUAGCUGGAAUUCAACAAUCCACCAUCCCCCGACCUCAACAAUUGCAAACCUAGUCAAUAACAGCAGUUUUCACAACAGCCACGUAGCAGCUCCACCACCACCACUCUACAUUCUCUAUCGAUUACAGUCCUUUUAUCACUAAAUCACAACAUCUAUUGCCCUUCUCACGCCACCCAAAUCCUCUCCCCAUAGUGGCCUUUACCAGCAAUUCACAAAAAAACCCGAGCGACCAGCCACCACUUUAAACUGAUAGUCUCUCCACCAUGACCCUUCUCCUCCACCUCUCAGCUUUUUUACACACAAAUACUCGACAGUCUCUUUCCACCAUGCUGCUCGCUCCCCUCCCCUCUAAUCUAUUCUUAUAAAGGCUUGAGAGAAUUGUAACUAAGUUAUAAGAUAAAUGAAGAAAACCAACAAUACGGUCGCUGAGUUAUAAAGCAACAAACAGCACAACCACUUGAAUCUAUAAAGAACAAAAAAAAAAGGAAGGUAGUCGGGCCUUAGCCGGGUUUACCUGGGUCGACUGGGUUCCGGGUUGACUCUUUAAGUCGAUCGGAUUUUGUCGGGCCAACUCCUCGGCGCAUUUUUACUUAGACUCGGACUGGUUCCAGGCCCGGGUCAGCUAGGUCCCGAGUUGACCUGCCGGGUUGGUCCAGGUUUUAAAACUAUGAUCGUGCCGCAUAGACUUGAAGGGUUGUCUUAAAAUUUUGGAGCAGAACUGCUUAGAUUACUGAUACCGAACAACAACCACAACUUAAGAGAGAAGGGAAAGGGAAACUUGCAGGUACUCUCUCUUUCUUAUCUCCUGUUUACUUUGGUUCCAGCUGCUGUCUUGUUUUCUUUGUUGAUGAUCACUUAGAUUGAACCACUGUUAGUGACUACUUGUUUAUCAUCUCAUCUUAUCAUGCCACUCAAGAAAUUAUAAACUAACAAAUUCACCUCCGUACUUAUGUAAGAGAAUAUGCUGAGGUUCUCAUGAGGAAAAACAAUAUUUAGAAAAUAAUGUGUUGUUUCUAUUAGCGUCAGUUGUUAUUGAGAAUCUUAGUGGUAAGACCUAUAACAAGAUGAUUCAUAUAAAAGAAUUAUGUUAGAGACUCAUGAUGAGAUGAUCUGUAUACUGGUGUUGUGUUAAGAACUCCAAAUGAGAUGGUUUAUAUAAAAUUAUUGUGUUAAGGAUCCAAAUGUGAUGACCUACACAUAAAAGAUAUUUGUGGAGAACGAUUGCUAAUCAAGGUCCGAACUUAAAAGACAAGUUUCUUCCAACAUGAGAAGACUAACAUGAAUUUUUUUUUAGAAAAAUAAAUAUUUUUCUUAGUUAAUUUUAUUUUUUUCUAUUUCUAUUUUCCUAUUAAAUAUUAUCAGGCUUUUCUAGUUUUUCUAUUUGAAUGAAAUAUUUUUUUCUAUUUCUAUUUUUAUAUUUAAUGCUAAUAUGGUUUUUUUAGUAUUUCUAUAUAAAGGGUUGUAAUAACUUUUGAUUAGUGGAGACUUAGAUGAAAAAAUAAAUAUUUUGGACGUCUCUCAAUAAUUAUGGUGUUCUGGGUCUUUGAGGGUUUUAACUUAUAACAAAACCUAUUAUUCUCUGUACCUGUCUAUGUUAGUUAAUAUUAGAGUCUAAUGAUUCAUGGUGGUUUUGGUUGGAUGUCGUAGAUGACCUGUAUCAGAGCUCAAUGAUUUCUUAUGGUUAAUUGCUAUGUGUUGUUGAAUAACCAUGGCUAAAACAGGUUGCAGAACAAGACGUAGUUGUGUAGGAGGGGAUGAUAAGGUUUCCCGUAGAAAAAAAUACAUUAAGGAAUUAAUGUGAUGUUUCUAUAUACUUUGGUUGUUGUUAUUGAAAAUCCUAGUGGUAGGACCAAUGAUGGGGUAACCCACAUAAAAGUUGUGUUAGAGAUUUAGGAAGAGAUGACUAAGAUAAAAGUAUUGUAUUAGGGAUCUAUAAUGAGGUGACACUAAAAAAAUAUUGUGUUACACAAAGGAUAUUCAUGGAGGAUGAUUGUUGACCGAGGUUUGAACACAAAGAUAAGUUCUUUUCAACCCCGAAAGACUGAUGGAAGAGUUUUUUAGGAAUAUAUAUAUAUAUAUAUAUAUAUAUAUAUAUAUAUAUAUAUAUAUAUGUCUUUGUAAUUUUUUUUUUAAUUUUUAGCUUCCUAGUCAAUAUUAAAAUACUCGCUCUCAUUGGUUUUUCUAGUUUUUUUUAUUUAUAAUUUGAAUGGAAUAAUUUUUCUAUUUUUAUUUUCUUAUUCAAUAUUAAUAGGGUUAUUUAGUAUUUAUAUAUAAAGGGUUGUAAUAGAUUUUGGCGAGUGGAAAUUUUGAUGAAUAAAAAUUGAAUAUUUUUAAGGGUUUUGAUGUAUAAACAAACCCUAUUAUCAUUCGCUCUCAUAUGUGUCACAAUCAACACGGUCAAACUCUAGCUUCUUUGUAUUUUUUUAAUAUCAAAAUGAUAUAUAUAUAUAUAUAUAUUUUAAUUUUGAAAUGAUAUUAUUUUAGAUUGAUUUGUGUUAAUCGCAUAACCUGUGACCAAUGCGUUGGCCCGAAUCAUAGGUAAGGUCGAGUUUAAUAACUUUUGUUUUCAUAAGAUAAAUUAAGUUCAUUUAGACUAUUUGCAUCAGUUUUAAGAAAUUAAGAAAAAUCAUAGCGUGAUUGAGGUUAAUUCUUAGUUUUAAUGAUAAAAUAAUUCCGACACUAUAAUUUUCAUAUACCGAUAUUAAUUCUUUCUUCAAUCACGUCUUCAACAAACCAUUUAUAUGCAUAUAUAGAUUGAUGUAUAUCAUAAAAGUUUAUUUACAAGAAAAUUUUUUGAAUUUGAAUUUUGAGUAUGAUAGCUACAUGAAAUCUACUUACCGUCUUAGUAAAAGAUUAUUAUUUAAUAACUAGGUUAUUUCCCACGCUAAGCUAUGACUUGGAUCAAAAUUAUUUUGAAUAUAAAAAAAUAAUAUCCUAGUUGUGAGGAAUUUUUUAUCAUGAAACUAGUUCAAUAGAUCAAAUUUAAAAACUCUCGAUUUGAUUUUUUAGUCUAAAUUUCAAAUUAAAUAUAUAAUGUUGUAGUUAUUUCAAUAUCACCUAAUCUCUUGUCGGGUGAAGAAUAACAAAUCAAAGAAUAGAAAAUAAUAAAUGACAAAAAAAUAUAAUUUGAUUUUUUAAAAAAUAAAGGUUGAUAUAAAAACAUGUUAGAUCGUAACCCUGGUGAAGCAAUAAAGAGAUUUACAUCCACUGCUUCCUGCAUGAUGUUUGGUUCUGUGGUAUAAAGAACAUGUGGUAUCCUAACUACUGCUUUGAAAAUCCAAAGUACAUAAUUCCUACAGCUAAACCCGAAAUUGGGCUUAUGCUGAAUUAUUAGGACUCGUUUACAUGCUAUACAUCUAGAUAUGACUGUUGAUAAUAACCUUACAUGCAGAGAUAUACCUAUGGUUUGUGUUAUAUAACAUUGAAAUUAUAAUUCCUUUGUCAAUCUUUGUAACAUGUAUCCAAUUGAGGCUUCUACGGGCUCAUAAUAGAACCUUGAAUUUUCUGUUUUGCAAAACUAGCUAGAGCCUUCCUUUGAUUCGUGACGCUUUCGGUGUAUCCUGCCAGAAGUGGAAGACUACCUUGUUCUCCCUUUUUACUUGCUUGUCCUCGAAUUAUCUGUCGGUGAUUCCUCGACAAAGAUGGUUAGUUGGUUACCUUUGAUGCUCAUGAUCGCUCUGCUUGUUGACACACAUUUGUAAUCUCUCUUCUAGACAUGCUGAAUACAGCAAGAGCAAACAUGAGUACCGAGGAAAAGGAAAGAACAAAUGAAGACGCAACUUAACAUAAUGAUCUCCUCGUAUGGCCAAAAUCAGUUCAAAUUAAAGAGACAGUACUGAGAGGACAACGGUGCUCAUGGUAAGAGAAGCCAAAAUCACCCAACUGAUUAACAAAUCAAGACGGUCAUUAAACAAUUUGAUCACUUCUCUGUUACUGUCUCAUGGUGGGUGCACAUGUUUACCCAAUUACAUGUGCUGAAUUGUUAAGUGGGGAGAAUUUUUUCAGUUGCCUUGAUGGAAGGCAAAAUUGGGACACUCUAGACACCCGAUCAUGUGAACAAUUAGAGGUGUAGAGUGGAAACUGAUUAAGACCAAUCUUGACGAAUCUAAGAACUGGUAGUCUCGCCAGAUGUUGAGAAAUCAUGUAUUAAACCAGUAUAUUCCAGAUCACUUGUAAAGGAAAGCCGCAACAAAGCUAGCAAAUGGUUGUAUAUACGGAAAGACAGUAUGAUGGAUAGAUAUGGCCUAAGAAGUUCUGGCUAGGAGAUUGGGUUUUAAGCGGGACCAGUGUGACCCCUCCAAUCUUUCCUGGGAACUUGCUUAGUGGAAGGAUUAUCCAUACGGUACUAUUUUCGUAUAUAUAGCAGUUUGUAAUGAAACGGUUGAAGACUAGCAGGAUGACGGCACAAGGGAACAGUUGGGUUUCGUAUGUUCAAGGAUCUGAUGGAGUGAUGAUUUCUCCAAAAAAGUUAGAUUCGGUGACUGUGAUUUCUCGAGGGUAGAAUUGAUGAAGACCCUGAUAAUGGAAGAGAAAUACAAGGGAAUAAAGAUUGACACCCUAUUUUGACUUGGACAGAUGUUGUGACAGGAUGAGCUGCUAUCAAACAUAAGCAAGGAAUAUGGAGAAAUCUGGAGAACAUAAAUUGCACGAGGGCACACGGAGAUUGUGCAGGAGUACCCGUGAUUCAACGAGGUACUGUAAUGAGACAACAGGUGCAAGGAGAAGAAGAGUUCCCAGAUGAAGCUCAGAGUAUAGACUAUGUAGAAGUUGGACAACAGGAAGUCUCUUGUGCUCUUGAUGAAGACAAAAGGCGAAGACCUUUCCAAUGCAUGCAAGGAUGGAAAGAGAGCUGUUGUAGAAGCACCUAAUUGAGGAGGUGCAAAUGCCUGCGAUAAAAGGCGACCGUCUACUAUGAAAGGCGAAGACACCAAAAAGAGUUGGUGUAGGUGGAGCUGUCAAGCAGAAAGGCACAGAAGCUCCAAACAUAGAAAUCGAGGUGGAGGAUUGCAAGGAGUAUACCGUAAGUUUCUUUUUCUAUAUAAUCAGUGGCAGUUAUCUCUUCCAUAGUCCACAUGGUGGUAGAGACUUUUGGAGCCACUUUGAAGCAUCUCAACUAAAGGAGGAUGCGACCACCUAUGAAAGGUGAAGACACCUUAGAUGGAAGGUGUGUGGGCCAUGAUAGGAGCCCAUAUCAGACCGCCCCACGACAACGGGCGAAGACACCUUAAAGAAGGUGUGUGGGCCGUGAUUGUGCCAUCACAACUAUUUUCGUAUAUAUAGCAGUUUGAAAUGAAAUGGUUGAAGACUAGCAAGACGACGACACAAGGGAACAAUUGGGUUCCGUAUGUUCAAGGAUCUGAUGGAGUGGUGAUUUCUCCAAAGAAAGAUUUGGUGACUGUUUUUUCUCGAUGGUAGAAAGCCCGGAUCAGACCGCCCCAUGACAACGGGCGAAGACACCUUAGAGAAGGUGUGUGGGUCGUGAUAGGAGCCCCGGAUCAGACCGCCCCAUGACAACAGGCGAAGACACCUUAGAGAAGGUGUGAGGGUCGUGAUAGGAGCCCCAUUUCAGAUCGCCGCAUGACGACGAGCGGAGACACCUGAGGAGAAGAUGUGUGGGCCAAGAUAUGAGCCCAGUUCAGAACGCCCCAGAGCCAAUGUGAUGGCUAGAUAUGAGUGGACAGGUGUAUAGCCAAUGAAGUGGCUAUGAUGAGUAUGAAGACAAAUGCAGGAUUGACUUUUAUGGAUAUUGCCCCCAUGCUAAAGAUCAAUGAGUUAAAAGACAUUUUCCUUGGACAAUAAGUGGGUGACUUGUGGAGCAUUAAGACGCGACUGCUAGGAAUGAGCAGUAGGCAUGCGCAGGUUCCGGGAACAAGUUGACUCUUGUCAAGGUGGUGAGCUCGGUGAAGGCAUUGUAAUACUCAAAGUAUCAAGACAUAUAUGGAUCAAACUUUAAUGGGCUAUCCCCAUAGGUAAAGGUGGAAAGCUACCUGGACUCUUGAGACUAAGAGCGAGAGACUCAUGGAGAAGUAAGGCGUGGUUCCUAGGGUGGAACAGAGGGUAGACGCAACUCCUAGAUGAGUAGACUCUUGGAAGAGUGUUGAGCUCGUGAUCAUAUUGAGAUACUCAGAUAAUGACUGUCGCACUUGGAAAUGGAAAUUUCUGUUUGAGGGGGUGUUGUAAGCCUUGGUGUAAGGCUUGAUGAUUCAUUCCGGACCGAGCAUGGUUGAUACGCUCGAAGGGGAAUGCAGUGUGUCCCAGAGACAAGCGUUAACACUCUUCAGAAGUGAAGUGGCAGACCAUCUAGUUGUUGUGAUCCUUUUGUGUGAGAAAAGGUGUGCUUUGGUAACUCUGGUGAUUGAAAGGUUUGGCGAGUACCUGUAAACUUGGCCACAGAUGCUCUCAGAAUGAUAAGCUUGGAAGAGUUGCAUGAUGCAAGCUUGUGCUGAAGAAGUAAGAGGACAAUUGCCCAUAUAAAUAUCAAAGGGGGUGAUUGUUGGGAUAUUGCCAUUAAUGGGCAAUAACAGUUGCAGCCUACCUUAAGAAAGAGGGAAGCCAUUGUCAAAAGGCUACAAUGGUUGUUGCACCAACCAUUGAUAAAAUGGUGCAACCCAUGUGCAGCCACCUUUGUUGAAGAAGAGCUGGAGCUGUGGCACCAUUCUUGCCUAUAAAUAGGCACCGAGAGAGAGAGCAAAGUUGAGAGCAGAAAGUGUGGUGAGUGAGUGCAAGAGAGUAGAGAGAAAGAGAGAGCUGCAAUGGCAGCAGCCUUGCUGCCAUUGCAGCUGCUGCAAGUGCAGCAAUGAGAGCUGGGAGUAGAGUUUGAGUGAAGUGAUCCUCCUCCUCCAUGUAUUUGUAUUGUAUCCUUUCUCUAUCUCUAAUAAUAUUGAUCCUCUCCCGUGGAUGUAGGCAAUUUGCCGAACCACGUUAAAUAUUGUCUCAGUGUGCUUAGCCUCCUAUGAGCAACUAUCAGUACACCACCGGUCCGCGCAUAGGGGAGCCGAAAUCCCCAACAGGUGGCAUGAUGCAGUCCCCUAAAAAAACUUUUUUAUGGGGUUAUACAUACACUUUUCAUAUUUCUAAUAAUUCACAUGACAUUAACAAAUGAUACGAGUCUUAAAUAAGAAUCUACAAUACACUAAAACAUCCUUAUUAACGAUCCUUAACUCCGACAGCAUCUAGGAUUCCUUGAAUAAUAAGAUAUCUCACACACACCUAGAAAUCCUUGACUCCUUCCCCUCAUUUUGUUAGGUGCUUAGCAUACUGGCAGCUAUUUCCAUGUGAUUCCUCCUAUCAGGUAGGCAAAAAGUAAUCAUUGCAUUAAACAAACUAAGAGUGCGUUUGGAAAUAUGGUUGAAAUUGUGUUUUCUUAAAAUUCAAUUUUGUUUUGCUAAAAAUUAUUUUUUUAUGUUUUCAGAUCGUUUUGAUGUGCUAAUCUCAAAAAUGAUUUUUUAAAAAAUAAAAAAAUAUUAUUUUAAUGUAUUUCUAAAUGAAAAACACUUUGAACUGCAACCGCUAUUACAAUCCCAAACAAGUCUAAGAACACAUAUAAAACGAGUUAGAAAACAAUCCAAUUGGCUCAGGCAAUGAUCAACAUGAUACAAAGAACUUUCAACUGAUAUACCUUAUUGCAGGAAGAUCAAGGUCUUGUUUUCUAUUUGUGUUUGCAAUGACUUCAGAAAGAGUUUGAAGAGUACCUGUCAUUCCAAAUAUCCUCACCCGCUGCGCACCGGAUAUGUGGCUUUAAGCUAUUCACAAGGUUAAUUUUCUGUCAUGUCAGAAUACGGUCGCUAUGAUUAUGUUUAUCUUGAAAUCAGAAACAAUAUCAGUGGCCGAUACUUGUUUUGUCCAGCCUUUGUCUUUCCUACAGAUUACGAUCAUGGGAUUGCUGAAUUCCAAUCGCUAAGCCACUGCAAAAUAGGGGUCGAUGAUCCUACAUUUGAUAAUGGUGAUGACGUGAGUAUUUCAGUGCUUCCACAUCAUCCAGCUAUCCACAUAAUCUUUCUUCCAUUUAUUGUGUAUGGGACUUUGCUUGCUAAAUUAUUAUGCCUAAACAAUAAGACAUCAUAUUCCAACUCCAUACCCAAAUACUCGCCUCAAGCAAAGAUUCCAAAACACACCACCACACCCGCCAGACCACCUUGCAAUGCAUGAUAAUAUGACUCAGAUUCGGCAGCUUCAGUCCACAACACCUGGAUAAACAAUUCACGUUAUAGCAUGCUUGGCGAGCAAUUAUGCGGCGAGUACUAAGUGAUCUGCCUACAAUAGGCCUAACAUCCUCCCCAAUCGAGAAGGAUUUUGCUGGAAACAAAACCAUAACCCCCAGGUGGUCUAAAUGUAGAGAAAAGUUAGUCAGGCUGAAUAAUCUCAACAGCUGUAUUUCUCAUUAUCACCCCUCUUCAAACGAAUCCUCAUCGUGACCCUGCUUUAUCAGAAUUAUCGCAGAGAACUUUUCAGUGAUAGGAAGUUGAAUAUGUAAUCGAUAACUUAUUAAGUUGUUUAUGUGGUGGAUGUUUUAUUGUAUAAUAUGAAAAUCAUGUGCUUGCGUUACAACUUCUCUCUUUUUUCUUUCUCUCUCUUCCUCUUCUGCUAUUUAUCUCGCCAACCAAACCUCCCACUCUUUCUUUCUAGAAAUAAAGUUUAGAAGUCAAUUUGUUAGAAAUUAGAAGAAUCAAUAAGUCUAGGGACUUAAUUGAAAUUUGGUUUAUGUUAAUUAAUGCAACUAGGGACUUAAUUGAAGAAAAAAAAAAGUUUGAGAAUCAAUUUGUGUCAAGAUUGCAAUAAUUAAAGGUUCAAAGACUAAAAUGAAUGGGUGUUGAAGUUUUGAGAGGCAAAUUAAUUUAAUCAAGGGUGAAAUCAAAAUAAUUAAAAGUAUAAAAAGGCAAUUGAGGAUGAAAUUAAAGAAUAUCAAGACCAAUGACCAUGCUGUAAAAGAUACUAAGUGCUCAAUCAAAGAAAUCAAGUGGCAUAAUUGAAAAGAUUAUUAAAGAUUGUGACCAAUUGAGGGUUUGUUUGUGAAAUAACAAGAAAUAGGAACCAAAAUUGACUUUCACUUAUUCAAAUUUUUUUUAGGUAAUUAGUUUAGAAUUAAACUUAUUUACAUGCAAUUGGCUAAUUAACAUACAAUUUGAAACAUAAUAAAGGCUGCCUAUUAAAUAUAUGUAUUAAUAGAAAACAAUUUAAAAAAAAUAAUCUUAAAACUAGGUAAAAUAUAAGUUGAGUGAACUCUUCACUCCAUGAUAGGGAAACAAAUUGAAUAAAAUCAAUUGGUUUGUAGCAAUUCAAUUUAAAUUAUUUUCUCUUGUAUAGAGGAGGUGUUGCUAAUUUUUUUUUUAAAUAGGAAUGGUUUAUGACAUUUUAAUUUUUUAAUUUGUGUAGAUGUCAAGAGGAAAGUCAAUCGCGUGUCAUAUGAACAUGAUCACUGCUAGUUCUUGUAGCAAUGCUUCUGACGACCAUGAAUUGUUAGGUGUCGAUCAAGAAUAAACACCUGAAAGAUAGAUAUUUACUUACGAUACGAGCUCGUUGAGUACCUUCUGAGUGAAAUUUUAAAUGGAAUUUUUAUUAUUUUUUUUUUAUUCUAUCAAAUUUUUUUGAUAUUACAUAUUUCAUCGCUAUCUAUGUCAGAAAUAAAUAGCAUAAAUUUUCUAUCUUAUUGGUGGAAUAUUUUUCGUAGGUAUUUUCAUAGCUAUUUGCUAGUUUUCUUCUAGUAGUGAAACGACUAAAAAAGAAAAGUUGCAUUAGUCCUAAAUGUUAGGAGUAAAUUGAAAGCAAUCCCCAUUUGUUUUUAGUAUGAUCAGAUUUCUUUGCUCAACUACUUGAAAGACAUUUGAUACAAUACGUUUUGGUCUAAACCGAAGACAAUAUUUUUUAUAAAAUUAAUUGACCUGUUGUUGAUUGGUCUACUAACGAUGUUUUAUGAAAAAAAAAAAAAACCAUUUAUAAAAGCAUGUGAGGAGAAACUGAUUGGAAUAUAGACGUAAUGGAAAACUAGGAGAAAUUAAUGGCAUGACUGGUCAUGCCUAGACAUUCCGACUUUCUGCUUCCGGCAUUAAUUAGCCAUGGAAAAUUCCUCACGCGGAAAUGGUCCAUACCAUAGAGAGAGAGGACUUGUAGGGAUGACUUGUCUUAAAAUUACAAUCCACCCUUUCUCUCUCAAUUUUAAAACCAUUCGCCCAUGUCUUGGGCCCAGUUGUAGACUUGGUCUGAGGAUCUAUCGGAGACGUUUCGUUUUAACAAGACAGCAGAGUUCCGCGUCUUUGAAUCAUUGGCAAUGGCAGCUAUGAAUUCGAUGGAAUUUGGAUAUAAAAAACUCGUGAAUUAUAUUUUUUAUAAAUAAAAUUUAAAUUUAAAUAAAAAAAUAUUAAUUUAACUAAACCUUGCUAACUCCCAAUAGGAUCAAUAUCAAAUAAUUAUUUUUAAAACAAAAGGUAAAAUAAUUUUAUUUUUAUAAAAUAACUGACUUAAGUUAAUUGGAUAACGCAGUUACCCGGAAUUUAUUUUAGAAGCAUAUUUAAGAGUAUGGUAGUAAUUACUUUUUUAAAUUGUUUUUCAUUCCAAAACAUAUUAAAAUAAUAUUUUUUUAAUUUUUAAAAAUUAUUUUUAAUAUUAGCACAUUAAAAUGAUUUGAAAACAUCAAAAAUAUAUUAAUUUAAAAAAAAAAUUUAAUUUUUUUUUAAAAUACUUUCAACCUGUAAUACCAAACAUAUCCUAAUUGUGUUUGUACGAGUGUCUCUAAUAUCCCUUUUGGUAAUUAUACUCUACGCGUGAUAAAUGAUUUGAAUUUUGAGACAAUUAGAAUAAAAAAAAAUGGUCCUAACGCGGAAAUGGCCCAGACCCCAGACUUGUAAGGUUUAUACAAGAAUUGUCUGGCAACGUAGUAUAACUUGUAUUUUUAAAAAUUUUAAAAUUUUUUAUUUUAAAUUUUUUAAAAAUAUUUUUAAAUUAUUUUAAUAAGCUUAUAUUAAAAAUAAUAUAUUUAAAAUAAAAAAAAUAUUAUUUUAAUUAUUUCUAAAAAAAUAUCCCUUUAAAAAAUAACAACACUUUCGAUCACAACCUAAAAGCAUAAAAUUGAUGAACUGAUAAGAGAACAUCAGCGAAGGGAAAGUGAAAAUUGAUGAACUGAUAAAAGCAUAAAGGUACUCUCUCUCUCUUAUCUCUUUUAGUAUUAUGUUAUAUUGUGGAAUGUAACUCUGCUGUAAGUGAGAAUCACUUAAAUUAAUUCACUGUUAGAAACUAAUCAUAGAUGAUCUCAUCAACCGAUUUUGUUGGUUCAGCAUAGAGAUUUAUCAGAUGUACAAAUAUUUUUCUGAAAGGGCAUGGAGGAUUUGAUUGCCGGGAAAUAACUUGAAAACUGUUUUACAGAAAAAAGUAAGAUAAUAAUAUAUGAAUACUUCAGCUUAUUGGUGUGCUAUCGAUCUUGAACUAUCGACUUGAAUCCCGCAACUCCUUUUUUUUUUUGUUCAGAUCUUUGAAAAGUCUUAUCUUCGCUAGACUCGAAAUGGCUGCUGGGAAAUAUCAAGAAUCCUACUCUUCACGGUUUUCUUAUUGUAAAUAUCAAGUGUUCUUGAGUUUUAGAGGUGAAGACACCCGCAAGAACUUUACCGAUCACCUCUACAAGGCCCUGGUUGAUGCAGGGAUUCACGCAUUUAGAGAUGAUGAUGAAAUUCGGAGAGGAAAGAAUAUAGAGCUGGAGCUCCAGAAGGCAAUACAGCAAUCAAAAAUAGCGAUAAUCGUGUUCUCCAAAAACUAUGCUUGGUCGAGAUGGUGCCUCGAUGAACUCGUAAUGAUCAUGGAACGUAGGAGGACUACCGGCUCCAUAGUUUUCCCAGUUUUCUAUGAUGUGGAUCCAUCCCAAGUCGGACGUCAAACAGGGAGCUUCGCUGCAGCAUUUGUGGAACAUGAAAAGAGCUUCAACGAGGAGAUGGAGCGGGUGAAUGGGUGGAGAAUUGCUUUGAAGGAAGUGGCUGAUUUAGCUGGAAUGGUUUUAGGAGACAGGUAAGUUGUAUCUCUUUAUGAAACUAUACAUAGCAUAAGACUAGAAUGCUGGUCGUGAACUCUAAAUUUCUUUCAGUUAAGUAUACCGAUAAGAAAACAUAUAAAAAAAAUAAAAUAAAAUACUUAUGAUUUCUUCGUUGUUUUUUUUUUUUUCCAAUCUUGAUUUGGUUUUAAUAGCGGUGAUAACGCACCUACAAAAUUAACUAUCAAUCAAUCAUUGACACGCAACCUGCUUUAAUUUCUUAUCUAAAUGUUGUUUAUUUCAAUCCUUUAUAGAGAGGCUACUAAUUAUCCUACGUUGUAUUUUACCUUUUGAUGUAGGUACGAGGCACAGUUUGUCCAAUCUAUUGUGGAGAAUGUCUCAAAGAAUUUGGAUCCAAAAAUAUUUAAUGUUCCCCUUCAUUUCAUUGGAAGAGAUCCUCUGGUACAAUAUAUCAACUCAUGGUUGCAAGAUGGAUCCCAUGGUGCUGCCAUUGCUUUACUCUAUGGAAUUGGUGGAGUUGGAAAGACAGCCAUAGCUAAGAGUGUUUUUAACCAGAACUUUUAUAAAUUUGAAGGAAAGAGCUUUCUAUCAAAUUUUAGGUCAAAGGAUAUAGUUUGCCAAUAGACCCAACUUCUUUUUGACAUCCUAAACAAGACUGUUGAGAUAAAUGAUGAAGAUGAAGGAAUUCUGAAAAUUAAGGAUGCAAUAUGUUGCAGAAGAACUCUUAUUGUUCUAGAUGAUGUGGACAAAAGGGACCAAUUCAAUAAAAUCAUUGGCAUGCAAAAUUGGCUUUGUAAAGGAAGUAAAAUCAUUGUAACAACCAGAAAUAAGGGUCUGUUUUCAACUAAUGAUAUUGAAGGGGUCCGGUGCAAAGUUGAACCGCUAGAUGAUGAAAAAUCACUUGAGCUUUUCAGUUGGAAUGCCUUUGGACAAGCUGACCCUGUUGAUGGUUUUGUAGAAGACUCUUGGAGAAUAGUACAUCAUUGUAAUGGACUUCCAUUAGCUCUUCGAGUUAUUGGCUCUUCAUUGUCCGGAAAAGGAAGAGAGAUAUGGGAAAGCGCAUUCCAACAAAUGGAAGUGAUUCCUAAUUUUGAAGUUCAAAAGGUUCUUCGAAUAAGUUACGACUUUCUUGAUGGUGAUUAUCCGAAGAUCUUAUUCCUUGAUAUCACAUGUUUCUUCAAUGGAAUGGAUGUGGAUGAUGCAGUUAGGAUACUGGAUGGGCUCGAUAAAGGUGCAAGAUUUGGGAUUGACAAUCUCAUCGAUAGAUGUCUUGUUGAAAUCAACAAUGAUCAAAGGUUGUGGAUGCAUCAACUAGUAAUAGAUAUGGGAAGGGAAAUUGCUCGUCAAGAAUCACCCAAAUGUCAAAGAAUAUGGCAUCAAGGGGAUGCUUUUACAGUUUUGAAAGGAACUACUGUAAGUAGCUGAAUUUUUUUAAAUGUCUACUUAAAUGGUUUGUGGUGCCUUGACAUAUUCAUUCAUCUACUUUCCUUUCUCAUGUACUUUUAAUAUUGUUAUGCAGGAUGCUGAAAAAUUGCGUGGCCUUACCAUUGAUAUGCAUGCAUUAAUGGAAUAUCAUUAUGCAGAAGUUGUCUGUACUGAUUCAAUGGUUUGUCGCAAGCGCCGCAGGCUUAACUUCUUUCAACAAUGGCUUUCCGAUUUUUUCGAUGGGGGAAAAUUACAAACUGGCCAAACAAGUUUGUUUCCCAUCCUCAACACGGAUGCUUUUAGAAAGAUGCCAGAUGUAAAAUUUCUCCAACUAAACUACACUAAUUUUCAUGGAAGUUUUGAGCACUUUCCCAAGAAUUUGAUAUGGUUAUGUUGGCAUGGAUUGUCUUGGAGCUCCAUACCAAAUCACGUAUGCUUGGAGAAGCUGGUGGUUCUUGAUCUAUCCAGAAGUUGUCUAGUUGAUGCUUGGAAGGGCAAACCGGUAUGUAUCAAGUCUCUAUAGCUAUCUCUCUCGUUUUCAAUUGAUAACAACUAAAUUCAUGUAUUUUCACAGUUUCUUUCAAAAUUGAAAAUUCUUGAUCUUCGUCACUCUCGUAAUCUAAUUAGAACCCCAGACUUCUCGGGUCUCCCAGCCCUUGAAAAGCUAAUACUUGAAGACUGCAUCAGUUUGGUUCAAAUUCACGAAUCUAUUGGUGAUUUACAAAGAUUGUUGAUCUUAAAUCUAAGAAAUUGUACAAGUCUUAUGGAGCUUCCAGAAGAAAUGAGUAGAUUGAAUUCACUUCAAGAGCUGGUUUUAGAUGGUUGCUCAAAUCUUAACAGCCUGAAUAUGGAGUUAGAGCAUCAUCAAGGGCGCAAGUUGCUUCAAAGUGAUGGAAUUGUUGCAAGUACAUCAUUCAUUUCUGUUAGUUAGUGGAGACAAACAAUGUCCCACCAUAUGCAAGUGGGAAUACCUAAUCUCCCACUUGGCACAUGGUGGAGGACACAAACGGUGGGCAUAAAUCAAGGCAUGAUUUAUGCCCCUUUACUCCCAUCUUGUAUACAUAUAAGCUCAGUGAAGAGCUGCGUGUGUGAGUGUAAAAACAUAGAGAGAACAGAAGAGAAGUGAGAACAGCAGAGAGAGCUUGUGUGAGUGGAGUUGAGUCGAGAAGAGUUUUCUCCUCCUCCUUUGUUUGUAUUGUUUCUUUGAGUGAUUAAUACAAGACAGUAGCUCCGUGGAGUAGGCAAGUUGCCGAACCACGUAAAUUUGUGUGUGUUUGAGUUCUGGAAUUUCCCAACAACUGGUAUCAGAGCUUGUUCUUGACAAAGAGGGUGUUUGAUCCAAACUCAAAAAUCAAAGUUCUCCAAACGUGUUUUUGAACAUACCAUCGUGUAGAGGACAACCGGACGAAUCCACUGUUGAAAACCCGGCGAAGAACCGACGUCCUGCAUGCCCGCACGCGCCCACACGCGCCGACGUCCAGACUGCCCACGCGCACCAACGCGCCGUACGCCCGCCACGCUCCAUCUUCGCCCGGAUUCUGCAAAACGGGUCGGGCUGACCCGCCACGUCAUCACAUCCGUACGGUCAACGUCCGCGUCACCUGCCACGUCACCUGCCACGUCAUCUCUGAGUUUUGUUCCGAUGUGUCGCAGAAGCUGAUAUUCUGACACGUGGCUACAUCAUAACCGUUGAGGGGUUUUGAUCCAGUACGACGCAGGAUCUAAUCAGUUGACACGUGGUUAAAUCAGGACCACUAUUGAGUAUUGAUCCAGUGUGACUCAGGCCAUCAUCUGCUGACACGUGGCUUCAUCAUAACCGUUACUGAGUUUUGAUACGGUGUGACGCAGGACCUAAUCUGCUGACACGUGGCUUCAUCAGAACCGCUACUGAGGUUUUGAUCCGGUGCGACGCAGGCGGUACUCUGGUUGACACGCGGCUGCAUCUGCACCGUCCGUUAAUCCAAAACUUUGAUUGCUAAAAGCUGAGCCAUCCGAAGUCCGAUUGGGGUGAUCUCAGUGUCAUUUCCAAGGUUUUCGGCUGUUCCGGACACAUCUGUAAGGUCAGAUUUGGGAAAUUCGAAUAGAAGAAGUAGUAAAAAUGGCAGAUGAAAUAAAAGCAGCUGGAAUUGAAAAAUUUGACGGGACAGAUUUUGGAUACUGGAAAAUGCAAAUUGAGGAUUAUCUAUAUGGGAAGAAACUUCAUCUUCCCUUGUUGGGGAGCAAACCAGAAAAUAUGCAAGAAGAAGAUUGGCUACUUCUUGAUAGACAAGUUCUGGGCAUUGUCCGGUUAUCCUUAUCAAGAAGAGUUGCUCACAAUGUUACGAAAGAAAGAUCCACUGCAAGAUUGAUGGAAGCCUUGUCUGGGAUGUAUGAGAAGCCAUCAGCAAAUAAUAAAGUGCACCUGAUGAAAAAGUUGUUCAACUUGAAGAUGGUCGAAAACACUUCUGUGACACAACACCUCAAUAACUUUAAUACCAUCACAAAUCAAUUAUCAUCUGUUGAGAUUGAGUUUGAUGAUGAGAUUCGUGCACUCAUUUUGCUAGCUUCACUUCCAAGCAGUUGGGAAGGCAUGAGGACAGCCGUGAGCAAUUCAGCUGGAAAAUCCAAACUGAAGUAUGAUGACAUUCGAGACUUGAUUUUGGCUGAAGAAGUGCGAAGGAAAGACUCGGGUGAAAGUUCAAGCUCAGGAUCAGCUCUCAACAUCAACACUCGAGGGAGGAGACAUGAUAGAGGCUUAUCCAGAGGCAGAUCAAAAUCAAGAUAUAGAAGUAAAAGCAAGUUUGGACCCAGAAAGCAGGUUGAAUGUUGGAAUUGUGGCAAACCUGGUCAUUUCAUGAGGAAUUGCACAAAACCGAAAAAACCUGAAGCUGACUCUGCAAACGCUACCACAAAUGAGGUGCAAGAUGCUUUGAUUCUUACUGUGCAUAGUCCUGUUGAUGAUUGGGUUCUUGAUUCUGGUGCUUCAUUUCACUGUACACCACACCAUGAAAUGAUGCAAAACUAUAUUGCUGGAGAUCACGGUGUAGUCUAUCUGGCCGAUGGACAACCAUUGGAUAUUGUGGGUUUAGGAGAUGUACAAAUCAAGACAAUGAAUGGAUCUAUAUGGAACUUGCAAAAUGUAAGGCAUGUUCCUGAUCUAAAGAAGAAGCUGAUCUCGGUCGGACAACUUGAUGAUAGUGGUCAUUCAAUCCUUUUUUCUGGAGGUAUGUGGAAGGUAUCAAAGGGAGCAAUGGUUUUGGCUCGUGGAAAGAAAACCGGCACCCUGUAUAUGACCACAAGAUUUGCAGACAUUAUUGCCUCUACUGAAGCAGAAAAUCAAGCACAUCUAUGGCACUGUAGACUCGGCCAUAUGAGUCAAAAGGGGAUGAAGAUACUUCAGUCGAAGGGAAAGCUGGCAGAAUUAAAAAAUGUCGAUCUAGACAUUUGUGAAAGCUGUGUUCUUGGAAAACAGAAAAAGCUCAGUUUCUUGAAGGUUGGCAGGACCUUAAGACCAAGAAAGCUAGAGCUGGUACACACAGAUUUAUGGGGACCGUCUCCAGUAGCAUCUCUUGGAGGUUCUCGGUAUUACGUGACUUUCAUUGAUGAUUUCAGCAGGAAGGUAUGGGUUUACUUUCUGAAAAAUAAAUCUGAUGUGUUUGAAACAUUCAAGAAGUGGAAGGCUAUGGUUGAGACUGAAUCAGGUCUGAAGUUGAAAUGCUUGAGAUCCGAUAACGGAGGAGAAUACAUUGAUGGAGGUUUCAAAGAGUAUUGUGCUGUUAAUGGUAUCAGAAUGGAAAAGACCGUUCCAGGCACACCGCAACAGAAUGGCAUUGCUGAACGAAUGAACCGGACCAUCAAUGAACGAGCUAGAAGCAUGAGGUUGCAUUCAGGGCUACCUCAAACAUUCUGGGCUGAUGCAGUUCAUACUGCAGUUUACUUGAUCAACCGUGGACCAUCAGUUCCUUUGGAGUUCAGAUUGCCCGAGGAAGUAUGGAGAGGAAAAGAGGUACAACUCUCUCAUUUAAAGGUCUUUGGGUGUGUUUCCUAUGUGCAUAUAGAUUCUGAUGCUCGCAACAAGCUAGAAGCCAAAUCCAAGAAAUGUUUCUUCAUUGGUUAUGGAGAUGAAGAAUUUGGAUUUCGGUUCUGGGAUGAUCAGAACAGAAAGAUUAUCAGAAGCAGGAACGUGAUCUUCAAUGAGAAAGUUUUGUACAAAGACAGAUCAAGUGCAGAAACAGAUAUGACUGAUUCAGAUACAAGUCCACAAAGAUCUGAAUUCAUAAGAUUAGAAGGCCUUCCCGAUGUUACUGAGCAGAACAACAAUCAAGAGCCUUUACAAGAAGACUCAAGCAUAUCUGUACCCGCUACUACACAAGAAGAAGCGGAGCAAAUUGAACCAGCUGUUCGCAGGUCUUCGAGGACGAUAAAGCCCCCGCAACGGUUCACACUUUUACUGAAUUACAUUUUGUUGACAGAUGGUGGUGAACCGCUAACUUAUGAAGAAUCCUUACAAGAUGGAAACUCAAGCAAGUGGGAGUUAGCCAUGAAGGAUGAGAUGAGUUCGUUGCUGAAGAACAAGACUUGGGAGCUAACCACACUGCCUGAAGGAAAGAAGGCUUUACAAAACAAGUGGGUUUACAGAGUGAAGACUGAGCAUGACGGAAGUAAACGGUUCAAGGCAAGACUUGUUGUCAAAGGGUUUCAACAAAAGAAAGGCAUUGACUACUCUGAGAUAUUUUCUCCAGUUGUGAAGCUCACAGCAAUCAGAGUUGUUCUGGGGAUAGUAGCUGCAGAAAAUUUACAUCUUGAACAGUUAGAUGUAAAAACAGCAUUCCUUCAUGGUGACUUGGAGGAAGAUAUUUAUAUGCAACAGCCAGAGGGGUUUGCAAUGCAAGGAAAGGAGAAUCAAGUCUGCAAGCUACAGAAAAGCCUAUACGGUUUGAAGCAAGCUCCAAAACAUUUUGACAACUCCUACAUCAUUCUACUAUUAUAUGUAGAUGAUAUGUUGAUUGCAGGAUCCAGCAUUGAGGAGAUUGAUAAGCUGAAACAGCAGUUGUCAAAACAGUUUGAAAUGAAGGAUCUGGGAGCUGCUAAACAAAUACUUGGCAUGAGAAUCUUCAGAGAUAAAGACAAAGGCGUACUAAAGCUUUCACAAACAGAGUAUGUCAAGAAGGUUCUCAGCAGGUUUAGUAUGGAUAAUACUAAACCAGUAAGUACACCACUGGGGAAUCAUUUCAAGCUCAGCAAAGAUCAGUCACCAAAAACUGAGCUAGAAAGUGGAUACAUGGAUAAGAUUCCAUACGCCUCAGCUAUCGGCUCUUUGAUGUAUGCUAUGGUCUGUACCAGACCAGACAUUGCCCAUGCAGUGGGAGUUGUAAGCCGAUAUAUGAGCAAUCCUGGAAAGCAGCAUUGGGAGGCGGUCAAAUGGAUCAUGAGGUACUUAAAAGGUUCAUCGGAAACUUGUCUUAGUUUCACAGCUGGUGGUUUGAAACUUGAAGGUUUUGUAGAUGCUGAUCUAGCAGGAGAUAUUGAUAGCAGAAAGAGCACUACAGGAUAUGUUUAUACUCUAGGAGGUACUGCUGUUUCCUGGAGUUCUACCUUGCAAAAGAUCGUUGCUCUUUCAACAACAGAAGCUGAAUAUGUUGCAGUCUCAGAAUCUGCAAAAGAGAUAGUAUGGUUGCAGAGUUUCCUGAAGGAAUUGGGCAAGUUGAAUGGAAAAGGUACUUUGUAUAGCGACAGUCAGAGUGCAAUCUUCCUUGCCAAGAAUCCAGCUUUUCACUCCAGGACGAAGCAUAUUCAGAUCAAAUAUCACUUCAUCCGACAAUUGCUAGACGAUAAACAACUGAUGCUAGAAAAGGUCUGUGGAAGCAAGAAUCCAGCUGACAUGUUAACCAAAGGAGUUACACUUGAUAAACUGAAGUUGUGUAAAACUUCAGUUGGUCUUCAAGGAUAAAUGAUGAUUUCAUUGUUUGUCUCCAAGUGGGAGAUUGUUAGUUAGUGGAGACAAACAAUGUCCCACCAUAUGCAAGUGGGAAUACCUAAUCUCCCACUUGGCACAUGGUGGAGGACACAAACGGUGGGCAUAAAUCAAGGCAUGAUUUAUGCCCCUUUACUCCCAUCUUGUAUACAUAUAAGCUCAGUGAAGAGCUGCGUGUGUGAGUGUAAAAACAUAAAGAGAACAGAAGAGAAGUGAGAACAGCAGAGAGAGCUUGUGUGAGUGGAGUUGAGUCGAGAAGAGUUUUCUCCUCCUCAUUUGUUUGUAUUGUUUCUUUGAGUGAUUAAUACAAGACAGUAGCUCCGUGGAGUAGGCAAGUUGCCGAACCACGUAAAUUUGUGUGUGUUUGAGUUCUGGAAUUUCCCAACAAUUUCAUCUCUUCCAUUGAAGCUAUUCUUUCCCUCUAGGUUUUCAACGAGGAAAAUGUUGAGAACUACCUCGUUUUCACUGCCACGCUUCUUGGAGAGUCUAGAUUUAAGUGGAACUCCAAUUUGUUUUCUUCCAGAAAGCAUCAAGGAUCUUGGUCUACUCAGACACCUAUACUUAAAAAAUUGCAAAAUGCUUCAGGCACUCCCAGAGCUUCCAUCCCAUUUAGAUUCGUUAGAUGUGUCCUUUUGCUAUUCACUGCAAAGACUUGCAAAUCCAAACAGUUGGACUGAAGGAGAUGGUUGUGAUCACUUAGUCGAGUUCCAAGAUCGGAUGAAGCAAGAAUUAAUCCAGAAGUUUGACUCUCACGUGUUCAGAAUAAUGGAAACGAUUAGUGCUCAAAUACAGCCAUCGAGAUUUCAGGUCCUCCCUCACCCAUUUUAUUGAUUUGGAAAUCUACAUUUGAAUACUUUUAUUUUGCUCAUUUUAUAGACAUUGUUUUGGCGGUACAGAUAACAUUUUUAUAUGGCAUAUUCAACGUUGUCGCAUAUGCAUUUGAAGAUGAGGAGUUAAGGGGGUUUUAUGAGGAGGAAGAAGAGGAUAAAUGGCUAAUUAAGAAUGAGUUUGUAGAUAACUUUUCAUUCAAAAUAUCCUCACCUGGGACGCACCAGAUAUGUGGCUUUAAUCUGUUCGUAAGUUGUGUGACGUCAGCAUCGUCAGCAUACCGUGGCUUUAUUAAUGUUUAUAUUGAAAUCAGAAACAAUACCAGUGGUCGAUCCUUGCUUUGUCCAGUCUUUGUCUUCCAUAUGAGGUACGCGUGUGGUGUUCGUGAAAUGCAAUCGCUAUUGCACAGGAAAUUAGGGGGCAAUGAUCCUACAUUUGAUAAUGGUGAUGACGUGAGUAUUUCA